rnacentral:lncRNA from 1 species
AAAUAAACUCAACCGCUACACAUCACUAUACUAUCAUGCUCUACACUAACCAACUGUAGGAAAUGUCAAACCUGACCCAAUCCAAUCGGGACUGUAAGCAUACCCGUCCCCGGGACUGUAAAUACACCCGUCCCUGCCCCGUUACGACUAUCGGGCUCUAUCCACACUAACUGGUUCGUAGAGAGCAAGUCCAACUGGCAUGAGCGACACCAACGCGAAAGCACAAAGCCUGACUCCGGAGUGGCACUCGUGGGCGCUACCCAACCGAGUAUGCAGCGUAUCUCUGUCGAGCUCAAUCAGGCUCCAACUAGCCAAAGUCAAGUAAACAGGGUCAAAACAGGUCUACAAACCAAACCCACGUGCCCUCGGCACAAUCUGUGACCAAAACAAGAAUCUGGGUCCACCGCUAACCCGAACGGCACCCAACGACCCGAAACAGCCUACACUCUGCUGAAAAAUAAGCUCGGCAUCUCAGCACGAGCGUAAAUGCCUUCUAAACUACCCCAGGUACCCAUCGCAACGAUACUGCAACGAUACAAUCGAAUCACGGCUCCUUGAGCUAAAUCUAGUAGUUUAAGCAUAUGACGGGUCAAAACGCAGGUUUUCUCCUAAGUCAAAAUUCAAGUCCAACAUGUAUAAUAUAAACAUUCAUUUCAGCAUGCUUUUAUAUUCAUAUUACAUCCAAAAUGCUAAUCGAUGAAUUAAAGCAUGAUAUACAAAAUCGAACUAUACACGUCGACUAAACAUGUACUUAGGAGCGAAACCGAUGAUACACCCACCUCUAGUGCAAUUCCUGGCAGCAAGAUGGUCUCGGAUCACAAGCAACACUGCUGGAAACACCUCCAAACCAGCAACAAAGCCCCUCAAGAUCUGGAUUUACAAUUCACCCAAAAAUCCAAUAAAACCAUCAAUUUACCAAAAUUUCAGCACUUAAGCUUAAUUAUCUCAAUUCCAAUAUCAAAACUCACCUAAUGAUCUCCAAAUCGGGUGAGGACAGAUCCAAAUCUAGCAACUACUGAUGGGUGAUCAAUCUCAGGUCCAAAAUCCCACUGCCUACAAAGUUAGCAUCAAGAAAAGCUCAAAAAUUCCAAUUUCAGCUCAAAGUCAACAGCAGUCCAGAAAAAUCUCAGUUCGACUAAGCUAACCUCAACCAAAAUCUGUAAUUCAGGGCUUCGUGGAUUCCUCUGGAAGUCAAGAAUCCAGCAAACCAAGUUUCGUCGAAAUCCGACCUUCCUACGUCGCGCACGAGCCAAAAUACUGGAGGUCGUCGUUGAAGAACUGCAGAAUCAGCACUCCAUCAAGCUGGAUCAAUGGAAAUUUGAUGAAAUUUGAGGCAAAUCCGAGGGUAGAGAUGCUAAAAGAGGCUUCUCUAUGAAGAAGGGAGGAAAAGAGCAGCAAAGAGGCGCAUUCCAUCUAUUUAUAGUGAGUUAGAAUAAUCCAAAAAGCCUCAGGAACUCAAGCUGCUAUCCAGUGUCCCUGCAGAAACGGGCGUUUCUGGGCGCCCGGAACCAUGUUCUGGGCGACCAGAACAUCCCGACUGCACAAACCGGGCUCCUCGGACUCUCCGCUCAUGGUGUGCUGCGCCCGUAAAUGGCUCCGGCGGAACUCACCUACCGCCUGCCACGCGUCGAAGCAAGCGAUAUUCACGAUGUCGAAUUUUCGGACCCACAUCUGGGCGCCCGGAACAUGGAAUCCGAAUUGGCUUCCAGUUUCAGUUAAAUUCAACACUCAGUUCUGGGCGACCCUAAAAAUGUUCUGGGCGCCCGAAUCUGGCAAAACUCCAGUUUUGCCUAUUUGAGUGCGCCGAGUCCAAUUCUGCAUCCAAUUCGUGCAGAAUUGACUCUGACUCAGUCCGACACUCUCCAGAGAUGUCGACUAGUCACUAAUACUGAAGCCAAUCCUAUCCAAAGAUCAAGAACACUACAUCCUAAUGAAAUAAGGAUAUGAAUGAAUUAUAUGUUUCUUAUUUAUUAAGAAACAUACUUCUAACAUCCUAAUUGAUAUUUCUAUCCUUAUCUCUAUGUGAGAAUCAGGAUAUCUAUUCUUAUCUUUAUCUCUUUAUAAGAAUUAGGAUAUUUAAAAUGAUCCUGAUAAUCUAUAUGUAUGAACCUUUUUUCUCUGCGAUCUAGUACUUAAGAAAAGUUAAACUGAUUUCUUCCUUCUUUUCUCCGCAUUCUCUUUGAGAUUUUCACCUACAUUUUUGAGGUUUUGGAGGGUUUACGAUAGUGGAGGCUCUAGUAGCCUUCCACGAUCGAUGAUCAAGCAUAGAGAUCUCGACAUGACGUUCAAUCAAAGAUUGAGAAGGUUGUCGCAGAUCUAGGAGGCUGUAAGAUGAGUACGAUGAUCCGACAAGUUCUACUGCUGGAACUACAGUAAGUAUGAGGUUUUAUAAUAGUAGUGUUUUCUCGCUUUUGCAAACACUUCUAAAUAUUCAUUAGUUGCCCAUCUAGUAGUAUUCAGAAAAUUGGGACACUACCAUUUACAACCAUCUUUACAAAGCCAAAGAGAAAAAAAGACCAAGUAUUUAUUAUUGUCUAUAAGUAAUUAACAACACAUCAUUCACUACAAAGCAAAUUAUUGUCUGCAAGUAAUAACACACAUCGUUCACUACAAAGCACAAGCACAAUAAAUAGAAUAAAUCAGCACCAACAAUAGCAACAUGGAGAUACGCAACUUCUACUUCUUAGGGAUUGUCACACUUAUCAUCAUCUCAAACACCCCUUUGAUAUCCUUGUAGGGUGACAUGAGCACCACCAAACCUUCAUUGUUAGAAGAAAAGGAUGAAGGAGAUACCAUAUGGUAUGACACAUGAACCGGCUUAUUCCCUUGUGUUAGUGCCAACUCCUUAAUCCCAAACGGGUCCCAUUGCACCACCUUAAUAAAGUUGUCCAAUUGAAGAUCGAUGGCCGGUGAUGGUUCCUCUACCCUUGUGCAUGAUUCUAUCCUCAAGUCCUUGGGAACACCAUUGCCGUAGUUGAUCAUGAGGCAGAAUUUGUCCACUACUUUACCGUUGACUCUCUCUGUAGCUUCCUUCAGGCAAGAAGACGCGAUCGCCUUGUAGGGUAAUUCGUUUCGGCCUUCAUUGUAAGAUAUUUUGAAUAAAAUAGUGGCAGUACUUGCAGCACCAGAAUCAAAGGGGAUAGAUUUAAGGUACUUGGGGCGGGUGGGCGUCUGGUAGUGGCCAAAGUGGAAAAUUGAGUUUUUCAUAAAGAGGCCUUGGCCUAGCAUUUUGGUUUGAGUUUCCACCGAUGAUUUGAGGAAUUGGAUUAAAAAUAAAGGGUCGGCUAAAAGGAGGCUACAACUGAUUCCAAUAGCGUAUCCAUCCCCUUGAAAUUGUGUCACCUAUAAAAAUAGAUAAAUAAAUGAUUAAAUGAUUAACAUAAAUGAAAAGUUCAGGUGCAUUAACUACCUUUCGGUGUGAUACAUAAUGCCACUUAAUUGUACUAAUAUACCAAGAUAAGAAAUUAGUUGAGAACUUCCUUGCAUAGACCACAUGCACAAAAGAAGUAACUUGUGUUGUAACUUUGUGCAUAUGUAUAUGCACUAUGUACUUAAAAAAGUAUUGAUACAAGGCAUGCUUAUAUGCCUAUGUAUUUCUUUCUUGAUGAUCAUACAAGUGCUGUUUGCAAGAUAUUAAUGCAAAUAUUAGAAUGACUAUAAAUUUCAAUUAUGAAUGCUACAUAUUAUAUAAUCAUUAUUUAGCGCAGUUGAUUGCUAUUCUUAUAAAUACAUUAGAUAUUUUUCAUAUUCCAAAUUAUAUCCUAUCCUAGAAAGUACAAGAGGAUAAUCUGCACUUCACUUUUAGAAGACAAAAUUCUACAAAAAAUAAUUAUGCAACUUUGAACUUCACAUAUGAAAGUUAACUUCACAAAUAAAAACUUUACGUUUUAUGCAUGUCAUAUAUAUUGUAUCUAAUUCUGAUGAUAAUUCUAUAAAUUAUAUUUUAAAAACUUUAUUUAUUUUGUAAAUAAAAAGUGCAUACGAUAUUAAUGGAUUUAUUUGUAAAAAAAAAUCUAUUAUUUUAAAUAUAAAAGUUACCUAGAAGGAUAAAACAAUCAAAAAAUUUGAGCUGAUAAAAUUUGAAGUAGAAUUAUUUUUGCAAUUUUAUUUUACUCUAUGCGGAUUUACUAUCUAGUUUUUAACCCUUUGAUGAAAACUAUAGGGUUAGAAUAAUAAUGGUCCCUUAGAGUUGAGUGGUGGUCACCCCAGGGUUUAGUGGUAGUUGGUGAAAUAGUAUUAAUCUAAUGGUACAAAUAAUUAAAGAAGUAAAUCUAACAGCUAAAGCUGAAUAGCCAAAGGUUCCAAAUGCUAUUAAUAGCAUUCUAGCUCAAUUCUACAUAUAGAGUUGGACUGGAUUACUAUUAAUAGUAUUUGGGCUCUUUUACCAUCAAGUUACCUUUAAUGAAAAUUUCAGGGUUAGGAUGAUAGUGGUCCCCUAGGUUGAGUGGUAGUCUCCCGAGGGUAUAGUGGUAGUUAGUGAAAUCGUAUUGAUCAAAUGGUCGAAACAAUCAAACUAAUGGCUAAAAAUUGGAUAGCAAAAGAGCCUAAAUACUAUUAAUAGUAUUUCAACUCAAAUCUACCUAUAGAGUUUCCUAGAGUUCCCUAGGGUUAAGGCGUGGUCCAGCUCAGUUUUUAACCUCUGGAUGAAAAUUGUAGGGUUAGGAUGAUAAUUGAACCUAUGGUUGAGUGGUGGUCUCCCUGGCUUUAGUGGUAGUUGGUGAAAUGGUAUUGAUCCUAUGGUAGAAAUAAUCAAAAAAGUAAAUCUAAAAACCACUAGACCCUGGAGGACCAUUACUUAACCCUAGGGGACCACUAUCUUCUUAACCGUAUUCCAGCCCAACUAAAUGAGUUGGGCUGGAAUACAGUUAAUACUAUUUGGGCCCUUUUACUAUCCAGUUGUAACCUUUGGAUGAAAACUGUAGGGUACGGAAGAUAGUGGUCCUCUAGUGUUGAGUGAUGGUCGCCUAGGGUCUAGAGGUAGUUGGUGAAAUAGUGUUGAUCUAAUGGUAGAAAUUAUCAGAGUUAAUCUAACAGCUAAAAACAAGAUAGUAAAAAGGCCCAAAUAUUAUUAAUAGUAUUCCAGCCCAACUCUACGGGCGUGUUUGGUUCACUUUUUUUUAACCUUGGAAUCCAAAUCGGAAUAGGCGAAUCCGUUUGUGGGUGUUUGGUACGUGGGAGUCCCAUUCCUAUUCCGAUUCCCGAGUGGAAUGGAAAUCCCCCAGUCACCUCUUUUUCCAAUCCGACCUCCUAGGCCGGAUUGGAAGUUGAAUCGGGACGAAAUGGAUAUUUAUUCAGAUUAAAUUUAUUUUUUCAACAUUUUCAAUUAAAAUAUAAGUUUAAAUUUAGAAAUUAAAUAUAUAAUUUUAAAUUUUAAUUUGAACUUGAAUUAAAAAUUAAAAUUUAAUCAAGUAUUUUGAAUCUAACUUAUGAAUUUGAAUUUAAAUUAAAUUUUAAUUUAUAUAAAGUUUUAUUCAAAUUUUAUUUAAAACUUAAAUUAAAUUUAUGAAUUCAAAUUAAAAUUUAGACUUAAUUUUAAGUUUGAAUUUGAAUAAAUUGAAAUUUAGUUUUAUAUUUUGAAUUAUCUACUCAACUUCAAAGUUUAAUUUUUUUAAAAAAAAUAGAUUUAAAAUUUUGACAUUAUUUCAAAAUUUUGAUGUAAAUUUUCAAUAUUUAAUUUUCAAUUUUAAUUCAAAUUAAUAUAUUAUAAAGAUAAAGCUAGUAUAAUAAUUUGAUUACGUUUUUUAUAUCUACCUAAGGUCCUGAACCAAACACCAACAAUGGGAAUGAUUUAUUCCGAUUCCGAUUCAGGUUGUGAAUCAAACAGAAUUAGGUAAUGAGUCAUUCCAAUCCGAUUCUAGCUUAUUUCGAUUCCGAUUCUGAUUCCGAUUGCGACUUCGAACCAAACGCGACGCCCUAUAUGUAGAGUUGGUUGGAAUGCUAUUAAAAAUAUUUGGGCCCUUUUGCUAUCUAGUUUUUGACCUUUGGAUAAAAAUUGUAGGGCUAAGAUAUACUAAUCCCCUAGGGUUGAGUGGUAGUUGGUGAAAUAGUAUUAAUCCAAUAGUAGAAAUAAUAAAAAGAGUAAAUAUAACGACUAAAAACAGGAUAGCAAAAGAGCCCAAAUACUAUUAAUAGUUUUCUAGCUCAACUUAAUUACAUAUAGAGUUGGCCUGGAAUACUAUUAAUAGGAUUUGGGCCCUUUUAGUAUCCAGUUUUUAACUCUUGAAUGAAAAUUGUAGAAUUAGAAUGAUAGUGGUCCCCUAGGGUUGAGUGGUGGUCCCCCAAGCGUUUAGUAGUAAUUGGUGAAAUAGUAUUGAUCCAAAGAUAAAAAUAAUCAGAGUAAAUCUAAUGGCUAAAAACUAGAUAGCAAAAGGGCCCAAAUACUAUUAAGGGUGUGUUUGGUUCAAGUUAUCCUAACAGGAUUAUAGGCAAUCCUGCCAGGAUUACCGUGUUUGGUUCAUCCGCUAUGUAAUCUAGUCGUUAAUGUAGCAUUAUAAAUCGAGCAGGAUUACACCGAAAAUAUUAACGAGAGGGGGGUCAUGUAUCUUGCAUUACUGAAAACCGGUAAUACUACAUAUUAUGUAAAAUGACAAUUUUACCUCUAACUCUCGAAACCCUUUCAAUACGUUAUUUUUAAAAAAAUAUUGUUUGUAAACAGUAAGAAAAAGUUUACGAAAUAUGGCUAAGGGCAAUUUUGGAAUAGACUAUACUUUAUUGUCCAGAUUACUAAAUUUUAUAAACAGAACCAAAUAUAGUAACGCUAUAAACACUGCAAUCCAGCAUUACAUUACUGUAUUAAACCAAACGCACUAAUACAGCAUCAAUAGUAAUCUCAUUUAGAAAUUCAAAAUAUCUGGAUAUAUCAAAAUACUCUGUAAUAUUACAUAACUCGAACCAAACGCGCCCUAAUAGCAUUUCAGCUCAACUCUACAUAUAGAAUUGGGCUCGAAUACGAUUAAUAAUAUUUGGAUUUUUUUACUAUCCAGUUUUUAACGCUUGGGGGAAAAUUGUAGGGUUAGGAUAAUACUGAUCCCUAGGGUUUAGUGGUGGUCACCCUCGGGUUUGGUUGUAGUUGGUGAAAUAGUAUUGAUCCAAUGGUAUAAAUAAUCAAAGGAAUAAAUCUAACGGCUAAAACUGGAUAGCAAAAGGGUCCAAAUACUAUUAAUAGUAUUUCAGCUCAACUCUACAUAUAGAGUUGGGCUGAAAUACUAUUAAUAGUUUUUAGGCCUUUUUACUAUCAAGUUUUUAACCCUUAAAUGAAAAUUGAAUAGUUAGAAUGAUAGUAGUCACCUAGGGUUAAGUGGUGGUCCCCCUAGGAUUUAGCAUUAGUUGGUGAAAUAGUAUUGAUUCAAUAGUAGAAAUAAUCAAAGGAGUAAAUUUAACAGCUAAAAAUUGGAUAACAAAAGGGCCCAAAUACUAUUAAUAAUAUUCCCGCCAAACUCUAAAUGUAGAGUUGGGCUGGAAUAUUAUUAAUAGUAUUUGCGCUCUUUUACUAUCCAGAUUUUAACCCUUGGAUAAAAAUUAUAGGGUUAGGAUGAUAGUGGUCCCCAAGGGUUGACUGGUGAUCCCUCCAAGGUUUAGUGAUAGUUGGUGAAAUAGUAUUGAUCCAACAGUAGAAAUAAUCAAAGGAGUAAACCUAACGACAAUAAAUUGGAUAGCAAAAGGGCACAAAUACUCUUAAUAGUAUACCAACUCAACUCUACAUAUAUAGUUGGGCUGGAAUACUAUUAAUAGUAUUUGUGCCCUUUUGCUACCUAGUUUUUAACCCUUAGAUGAAAAUUGUAGGUUAGGAUAAUAGUAGUUUCUUAGGAUUGAGCGGUGGUCUCCCAAGGUUUAGUUGUAGUUGGUGAAAUGUUAUUUGUCCAAUAGUAAAAUCAUAGGAGUAAAUUUAACGACUAAAAACUAGAUAGCAAAAGGCCCCAAAUACAAUUAAUAGUAUUCCAGCUCAACUCUACAUAUAGAGUUGGCUUGGAUACUGUUAAUAGAAUUUUGGCCCUUUUACUAUCCAGUUUUUAAUCUUUGAGUAAAAAUUAUGGAUUUAGGAUGAUAGUGAUUCCUCUAGAGUUGGUAUAAGCGUGGUGGGUCCUACAAGACGUCUGUGUGAUGUUAAUAAUCAAAUGUAUCUUUAAUUAGUUAAAUAAUUUUUUAUAAAGUAAAAAUUAUUAAGAACUUAAUAGACUGGUUGUGAUUUUUUGUAAUUGCUGAAGUAAUAUAUUUUUCACAUGUAUUGAGGUUAUAAUUCAGCAUAAUAUUCUUUUUAAUGAGGUUUACAGGAGAAAAAUUCAAUCCAAGGUUGGCGAUAAGUGACACUUAUUGAUCGAGCAGUUUUUAUACAUGGAACCCAUAAUAACGCGCCUGGAUAUUAAGAUACGUUUGUGCCUUAAUACCAUUAAUUUUGAGAGUGGAGAUAAAUAGUACAAAGUUAGUGAGAAGGUUUAAUGUUACUGGUAAUCAUUAGAUAGAGAGAAGGUCGCAGUGUUAACUAGUGUCUAUUUUAGUGUAUCUUAGAUUACAGUGAGCACGAAAUUUAUAAAAUAAAAUAUAUGAAUCUAAUAAAAAUCAUAAUUUUAGGUUAUGUGUGGAAAAUUAAAUAACAGAAUUGUAUAACUUGAGUGGAGUAAAGGUUAUUGAAUGGUAUUGAUGGAGUCCAUUUCAAUGAAAAAAUUAUUAUUACUACACAGUACAAUACACUAUAUAAAAGUUUUGAAGUUUCACCAGGUGUAGUUAGCAGUUUACCAACGCGAUCAGUGUACUUUUAUGAUACAUUUCAUGUGUGUUGUUUGCCUUAACGUUUUGAAUACACUGAUUACAGUGUUAUAAAUACAGAUUAGUUCGAUUAUAGCUCGGAUGCGAUGCUGUAAGUUGAAGACUGUAUGAUAUAGUGACUUUAAACUCUAGCAGUUGAACUACUCUAUUCAUACCUGCAGCAACCUCUGAUCUUAAUGAAGAUGAUAGUUAUAUGCAUAUCUCAAUAUUUCAUUUACAGUCCGGACAGAGUAAACUGUUUCCUUGAUUUCAUUCUCAAUCUAUGGUAAAUGAUGUUAUGGUUCAUGAGUAAAAGCAACCAAAUGGAAGUGGAGGUCGAAUGAAGAGGUAGUGAUUUGUCAUCAUAUGCUAUAACAAGAAAUCUACCACCAAAUGGAAUUUGCAAAGAAGAGAAAACGGCAUUUCCCCAAAUACAAAUGAAUAUCAUGGUCCUAAGCGAAGAUAUCAAUGAGUCAGGCCAUUAACUAAAAGUAUCAUAACUUUAUCGGGUAUAAAAUGAUCAAAUUGUAUAUGAGCGAUACAGUGGUAUGGGAUUCAUGAACCCGGUCUAUGCUCAUUAUCGAAGAGUUCUAGAUUUUGACUGAGUGAAAACCCAUUAAUAGAACAAUCAACAAUGUAUAUAUAGUUAUGUGACUAUAUAUAGAAGUAGCACCGAGAGAAGACUUUAACCGACUACCAAAAGGACGCAUGGAAUGGGAUCCUAAAGGGAUAACUUCCAGCGAGAUGAUGGUAGCGGAGACAGCGAUUGUAGUUACCUCGUAUAGAAAGCCGGUUAUGUCUAUAGGUGAUUACUCAAUGGAGAAUUUUGAAUAGCCCAGUGCGAAGGAGUCCGAACCAAGCAGAAUAUUAACCGAGAACUAGGAAUGAGCAAGUAUUAACUAAUGUAAAAUGAGAAACCACGCUAACGAUACAUCCUAAAAGGAUAAGCUACCAAUGGUUUUAUCAAAGUGCCCAGUCCCAAGUAAUGAUUGAAGAGAUGGUAAUGCACUAUGUUGAGGUAGGGGUGAAAUUCCGAAGUGAUGACAGUAAACAUUGUCUCUUUAGGAAGGCACGGUAGCGGAUUCUGCUUCAUGGAUGCCUAUCCGGUUUCCUACCGGGGCAUUAUGAACAAGUUGAGCGAGAAGGGUUGGAGACAACCGUUGGAUGUUUCUUACAUAUUAAGGUGCAAAAGGACAACGGAGGUGAGUUGGCGUGUGUUAUUCACAAUAGUUAUUGAAUCAUAACUGGGUGAAAAAUGCGAUCAAAAGUAGAUCUAAUGGUUGUGAAAAGCUUGGUAUUAGCACCAAGCUGCUUCGCAUGCUAUUAAUGAUAGUAGUCCGGUAAUGAUAUAUUAAUAUAUAUAUAUAUAUCUGUAUAUAUAUAUAUAUUAUAUAUAUAUAUAUAUAUAAUAUUAUAGCGACGAGAGAGAGAGAGAGAGGAUUGAUGAGAGAAGCAGAGAGAGAGAGGUCGAUUGCCGGGGAGACGAGAUGAGAGAGACGCAGAGAGAGAAAGAGUUGGGUUGCGAAUAUAUUGGCAGCAUUUGGCUUUUUGCUAUAAGUUUUUAAACAUUGGAUGAAAAUUAUAAGGUGUUAGGAUGAUAUUAGUUCUUAAGGUGAGUGGUGCCCCAAGACUUGAGUGGGCCUAACUGAAUUAUAAUAUUAAUUUAUAAUCCAAUGUAUUAGAAAUGAAUCAAAAAUAAUUGAUACAAAGGCAUAAAAACUGAUAGCACAAAAAAGGACAAAUAUCUACUAAUAGUAUUCUUAAGCCCGACCCUCUUAUAUAAUAUAUAUGGCUGGGGCUACUAUACUCAUAUGAGCUAUAGAGCCUUUUACUCAUGACGCUUUUUCGACUCUUCAAAUGAAAAAUGUUGCUGUUAGGACUGAAAAGUGCGUUACGCGUCUAGUCCUGUUGAUGUGAGGCCCCUAGCGUUGAAGGUGUGGCUGGUUGGUUGAAUAGUAUAAUCUAACAGGGUUGAAAAUGAUUAAAGAGGUAAUUUUUAACGCGCCAAAAACUUAUGAGGAUAAAUCGGCCUCUAUACUCAUAAGAGUAUAGGUUAGCCUCCUCGUCUCUUCUCUCUGCGCCUCUCUCGUCUCUCUCUCUCUCUCUUCUCUCUCUCCUUAUAUAUAAUAUAUACUCUGGAUAGAGCACCGCGAAGGCAAGGGCUGCGGGGCUCGCCAGUUCACCGCCGGCGGCGAGCCGUCUCCCUGUUAGCCAAUCGGCGAGCGGUCCUGUAAACCUCGCGGCUUAAGGUUGUUCAUGUAUAAUGAUAUCGUAUCGUAUAGUAUAUUAGUAUGGCUGGGGGCUACUAUACUUUUAUGCAGUACUAGACGCCCCUUGUAUCAUUAAAUUUGUUAACCGUUAUAUUGAUGGGAUGUGUGGUAGGAUGAUGAUGGUUCCUUCACUUCUAGAAUGAUAGUGGUCCCUUUAGGAUGAGUAGAUACGUUGGUUGAAUAGUAUGAUCUAACGGAUGAAAAUGAUCAAUAAAAUAAAUCUAAGGCCCGAAACUUCAUGAGUCAUAGGGAGCUAAUACUUCAUAAAAGUAUAGUAGGGCGGGCAUAAAUACUGGGGUGGUAUCCUAUUAGUAAUAUAAUUGAGCUAGAAUAUUUUUAGCAAAGCACAACCCCUUGGUUGCUUCUGCCCGGGGUUUCUAUUCUCUGUGGAUUCUCACUCUUUGAUUAGUAAUAGCCCGUUGGAUGAAUAAAGCAUUAUUCGUCUACCAACUAUCACCAUCAUCCCAACACAUCCUUCCAUCCAUAUUGGCUAAAAAUUCAAAAGCAUCACUCUUGAUGUUUUGAGAGUAUUCUAGCUCAACUCUAUAUAUAUAUAUAUAUAAUACGAUUAUGGUAUGUAAUAUGUAUUAUAUAUAUAUAGUAUAUAUACUAUAUAUAAUAUAUAUAUGGUAUUAUAUGUAAAUAUAUUAUAAUAUUCUAUAAUAUGCUAUAUAGUAAUAUAUAUAUAUAUAUAUAUUAUAUUAUAUUACAUAUGUAUAUAAUAUAUAUAUACAUAGGUUAUAUAUAUAUUUAUAUAUAUAUAAUAUAUAUAUAUAUAUAUUUAUAUAUAUUGUAUAUAUAUAUAAUUUAUAUAAUUGUAGAACUAGGCUGGAAUCACUAUUUAAUCAGCACACAGCUAUUUGGCUGCUAUUACGCUUUUUAUAACCUUUGAAUGUGAGAAAUGUGGAGUGGUUAGGAUGAUGUAGGCCGCCUAGGAAGUGUGAGGAUGUUGGUUUGAAUUAGGGAUAAUCUAACUGGUAAAAAUAAUCAAAGGUUAUAAUCUAACGGUUUGAUUUGUGGAAAACCGAAUUAGCCACCAAUCCUUUAGUGUUUCCAAGAUUUAGUAGUUCUAGGCGGACUCUCUCGUCUCUUUUCAAUUCUCUCUGCUCUCUGGUCUCUUCUCCUCUCUUCUCUAUAUAUAUAUUUAUAUAUAUAUAUAUAAUAUAUAUAUAUACAUAUAUAUAUAUAAGCCGGACGCUCUCUCUCUCUCUCUCUCUCUCUCUCUCUCUCUCUAUAUAUAUAUAUAUAUAUAUAGAGUGAGGCUACUAUACUUCUGAAAGUACGGAGCCUUAUAUAUAUAUAGAGUGAGGCUACUAUGCUUCUGGAAGCACGGAGCCUUCCAUACUUCCACGUCGUUUCCAUGUUGCAACUUUCGAAUUGUCGAUCGGCUCUGUUAAACUUAAUCUAGAGUAUUUGAAGUACCCAGAAAAUAAAUUAUUCGAUUUUUCGAUAUUAUUUGCCUAGUGAACGAAGGGGCUCAAAAUCGACGGCUGAAAAUAAAAAUCUUAUAAAACGUGAUAAUAUAACAUUAAAAUUUUAGAUCAAAGAUAUUGAUCUUGUUUUAUAUAAUAUAAAGAAUUUGCUACCAAAAUUUCACGUGAUUUGGAUAUUUCUAUGCCGUUAAACUUGCAAACGGCUUACUACGACCAUUAAAAUUAUUGAUUUUGAGCCCCUUCGAUCACUAGGCAAAUGAUAUCGAAAAAUUAUAAAAGGUACUUCAAAUACUCUAGAUCAAGUUUAACGGAGCCGAUCGACGAUUCGAAAGUCGCAACAUCGAAAACGACCUGAAAGAACGAAAGGCUCCGUGUUUCCAAAAGCAUAGUAGCCUCUUAUAUAUAUAUAUAUAUAUAUAUAUAUAUAUAUAUAUAUAUAUAUAUAUAUAUAUAUAUAUAUAUAUAUGUGAAAGGUGUGACGCCGACUUUCCCAGGGGAAUGAUGAGGGGGGUCACCAAAUUAUGGAUACUCGUCUGCACGCUUACUAUUUUAACUCUUUGAGGUCUUAGCACACCCAAAUGCCUUAAGCCGGGUUUUAAGAGUUUAGCCUAAUGUAUAUUUCUAUAUAGGACUAUUCUGGGUUCUUCAAAUCUCCCCCUCUUUAAGCCCUGACGUCCUCGUCAAGGCUUCAGACUCACACAAUACCAGGCGAUGUGAGACGCAUCUCGCUAGCCCGUCAUCCAGACCCAGUGCUCUAGCGAGACUCAUUACAUUCCGGCUGGGAGUAUAUCGCAGUAAUUGGCUCUGAUACAUCACUGUGAGCCCCGACUUCCCAGGGGGUCACCCAUCCUAGGACUACUCCCGUCCUAGCACGCUUAACUCUCUUAACCUCUUGGGUCUAGCCACCACCCAAAAUGCUUAAGCCGGGUUAAGAGUUUAGCCCUAUUAUAUCUCAUAUAUAGGACUAUCUGGGUUCUCACAAAAGGUGAGGUCCCACGACAUAUGUGGUUAACAUUGCUCAAAAUACGAAUGGCAGAGCCAUCCAAUAAUAUAUGGAAAUAGAAUUAUCAUUUUGGGCAUGUUUGGUUCGUACAUUUUGGAUCCGGAAUAGAAAUCGAUUUGAUCAAAUUCUGCUAAUUUUGUUUGGUUCACAGGAAUCAGUCUGGGACUCCCAUUCUGGAUCGGAAUGGGAAUGGUCCAUUAGCUUACAAAUUGAUUCUGGUCUCCAAGCCCGGAUUGAAGUUUCAAUUCUAAGCCCACACUCACCUUUUCCUAAGGCCCAGCCCAACGUUUCUUCAUGUUAUCCAUCCUUUCUCUCCUUGUAGGCCUGUACCAAUCUCUUCCCUCUUUUCUCAUCAUUAAAAAAAAAAAGUGACAUAUCAUUCUUUAUUAUAAUUUUCACUACAACAGAAUUUGGUUAUAGGGACACAUGUUUGGGACACUUCUGUGUAAGUGUCUCAUUUAUGCCAAAAUUUUUUAAAUAAUAUACUAAUGCCUAAAUAUAAAGCCCAAUUCAAUCAAAAAUAAAAUGUUACACUACUCAACCCACCCCAUCCAGCCCGUUUGGCCCGAUUACAAACAGAAAAGAAAAAAAAAAAAUCAAUUACCAUCUUCCCUUCUCCCCUUACUCAAUCCACUGAAAUUCUACUGAAAUUCUAGACGAAAAGCCCUUUCCUCUCCUCCUCCUUCGUCAUCGCAGCAACGAGGUAGAGUUCCGGCGGUUGCUAAAUGCUUAAAUAAGUGUUGGUAAAUUAGCAGCACUCUUUUUAGCUUAUAGCGACACUCUUUAACUGUCACUAUAUACCUAGCGACCCCACAUAUAGCAACACUUUUUAAAAGUAUCGGUAAUUUAGCCAGCAGCACUUUUUUUGACCUAUACCGAUAUUUAAAAGUGUCGCUAUGAACCAUUUUUGUUGUAGUGUUUAUUCAAAAAAAUUUAUGCAUUUUUUUUGUAAUUUCUUGUAUAAAAAUUUUUAAAAUUAAUUCUUUUUUUUUGGCAUAGCUCUAACUUGAGAGUACUAUUAAUUUUUUUUUUAUAAAUUUUAGAUAGUUUUAUAAAAUUAUAUUUAAAAGUAAAAUUAGUAUUAUGUUAUUCUAUUAUUUUUUUACUUUGUAUCAACCAAAUAGUGAAAUAAGAAUAAUUCAUUCCAAUUUUCAUUCCAGAAAUAAACCAAACGUCUUGAGGGAGUGGGGCAAUCCAAUUGUCAUUCCAAUUCAUUCCUAUUCCAUUAUUUAUUCCAAUUCCACUCUUGAACCAAACAAGCCCAUAUAUGUAGUGCGGUUCUUUAAGGGCCCCUUUUUAAUGAGAUUUUGUCAAGAUAAUUUGAUAAAUCAUCUAACACUCGAAUCUUAAAUGACCUUUUCAAUGUAGAAUGUUUUUGUUCGAAUCUCAACACCACAUCAAGAUAGCAGAUUUAUAGAAUGCCCAAUAAAGGAGAACGAAGUCUUCCUCAUUCUUUUAUUUUUUUUGGUAUAUAUGUUCAAAAAUAAUAUAAAAUAAUUAAUGUAGGUAAGGGGAUAUUGGAGUGCUCAUAUAUGCCUCUUUUGCCUUUUCCAAUUAUUGGAAGACAUUUCUAAGUCAAUAGGAUAAGGAGAUAAAGGCAUAUGGAAUUUCUACCAUAGACACAGAUGCAGGUAAACCAAACCCCAACUAACAGGAACUAAUAAGGCUUGCUUAUUACUAUGACAAGCAUGAUAUAGACUUCUCAAACAUGUCAAUUACUUGAAGUUUGGCCGUUGCAUCUCAAAUAGUAUUUCUUUGGCUGAGGCUCUAAAAUUCAUUCAAUCUACGUGUCAAAUUGUUUUGGAAGUAGCCAAUUCAUGAAAGGUAUCAAUAAUGUUAGCUAGAGAUUAUGCCUUCUUUUCAUUGUUAUAUAUUGAUUUGAUCCAUGCACCAAGUUCAUGGAAAUUAAUUGGAAGUCUAAAUUAAGUUGGGCGUUAAAUUGGACUUGGCCCGGUUUAAUUCCUAUGUAUUGCGCCCAAUUCAAGUUGGCUCUGGGGUAGAGUUACUAGAGUAGGAUAAGGAUAAGAAUUCACUUAUAUGUAUAUGUGAAUACCAUGUAUACACAUCACGCAUGGUACGGACGAAUUCAAUAUAGACACUUCACACUUUUUAAUAGAUUAGAGGUGACGGUUCCCUUUAAGCCGUAUACACAAGUGCAAAUUACUACAGAAGUGCAAAUUAAUAGAUUACAGGUGACGGUUCUCUUUAAGCCGUAUUAUUAUUAUAUAUACAGUUGAAAUUAAAUUUAAAUUUAAUUAUUAUUACAAUCAGUGAAAAUUAAUAUAAUAACUAAAUAUUAGUUAAUCUUAAAUAUAUUCACAAUAAAAGAAAGAGAUAUUCAUAAUGGUGUCUGUGGGCCGGGUCGGGUCUGGAUAGUUGAUAUACUGUAUCCGUAUCCUAAAAAGAAAUUAGUAGAAAAAAAACAUAUAUACCCUAAUAUUUAACUUUCGAUCGGAUCUGGGUCUGGAUACUUAAUUAAGUUAAUAAUAUAUCCAUCAAGUUUAUUUGAGUGGGUCUGAGUAGUGACUACCCGUAUACUAUCCGCCUUAAGAUCGGAUUUGGAUCGGAUAUGGGUCGUGUCUAGAUCGGGUAUGGGUCAGGCCUGGAUCAAAUAUGGACACCCGUAUGCAUAUAUUUUUUAUAGAUUUUAUUAAAUAGUUUAUGGACAAACCAUAAAUCUCUCAUUAUAAAAAAUUUCCAUUCUACUUAGUUGCACCGUCUAAUAAAAGUAGUUUAAAAGAAAGAUUCAGGGUUAAACAAAUAAGGAGAAAAUAAAAAAAUAAAAAUGUCCCAUUGAAAUACACUGAGACACUUCGUCUAUAAGUCCUAUUGAAAUUUAUCCCUCAAUUUUAAAUUUUUUUUAUUUACUAUCGGAUAUUUCACUAGGUCCCGGUCUAGGUCCGGAUCCAGAUCCAGAUUUGAAAACUCUUCCAAACCCUACCCAUUAAAAUGUCGGGCUCGGGUUGGGUCCAAGUCGGAUAUGGAUAUAAAGUAUCCGGAUCGAUAUCCGAAACUUUAAUGGUAAUUUUUUUUACCCAUAUACUAUUUAUUAUUUAUCAGAUCUAAUUCGGGUUCGGGUAGGAUCUAAGUAGGGUUUGGAUUGAAUAUGGGAUAUCAAAUAUUUUGAACGGUUUUAAAUAUUAAACUAUAUAAAAAUAUUUAAUAAAAAAAUAUUAUUAGAAAAUAAUGAAUUAAAAGUUUAUUUCAUUACGUAUUUAUUUCCAGUGAUUUAUAUUCUUAUAUUUAUAUUUCUAUUCUUAUCAUUGUAUUUUUUAAGACGGCUCGGUGGAGAAACCGAAAUUUAAAAUAGGUAUUUUUAUACGUAGUAUAGAUGUAGAUAUAUCUUAAUACAUCACGUGCAGACAAUCAUUUUUAAAAGGCAAAUCAAAUUAUUUGAAUGGUCAGAAAAGUGAAACCAAAAUUUUUUUUCAAUUUAGAUAAUUAUUUUCAGUGAUCCUUAUAUACGUAUAGUUUUCAACAUGAUGAACAACCUAGUUGCACCAAUUCUAGUGGUCAACCUCAUACACGCUUGAGUAAAUGAGAGAGUAGAACAAACUGUUUAUUUCCAGAGACUUAAACUAAAAGUGAGAAAACAAAAACGAAAACAGAAGCAAUGAAAUUUGAGCUCCAGAUGUAAACGGUAAUUUAAAUACGGAUUAAUUUUAUACAGAUUUCUGUAAAUAUAGUAAAUUAUAAAUAUAAAGUUCAACUUUCAUACGUUGUUUCUAUAAAAAUUCUAAUAUUUUCUAAUAUAUCCUUAAUUACCGUUAGAAUUCGUUAGAAAACUUUUAGUUAACCAUAAGUUAAAUAUAUAUCUAAUUCUGAUUAGUUUAUGAGAUAACUCGAUAUUUUUAUCAUUUUAUAUUAUACUGUUAUACCCUUUGGAUAGACAUAUUUGUACUGGUAAAAAUGAUAUUUUAUUUAAAAUAUAAAUCAUUUUGUAACGGUAACAAGAUAGAAGGACAAAAUUAAAAAUAUUAGAAUAUUUAUAGCGACAAUAUAUAAAAAUUAAAUUUUAUAGAAAUAUAUAUUUAUAGUUCAGUAUAUUUGCAGGGACCUGCAUGUAUUUAACCCCUUAAAUAUAUACAUUGAUUCGUACGUACUGACCUGCAUGUACAACAAAGCAGAGUACUCAGGACUCUCGCCAUCUACGUCCACCCAGUACGCCAGCGGCUCUUCCUUGUCUGCCUCUGCCGCGACAGCCUCCAAGAAUUCCGCCAUGCUGACCUCCGUCACGGCGGCGUGCACGAUCCGAACCCCGGCAUCGUUCAGCUUCACCUCCCACUCUCCCUCUCCCUCCCCGACACCAGCUCUCCGAAGCCGCCCCGCGAGCUCCGGCAUCUCCGCCAGCGCCGUGCCCAGCGACUCCUUCAUCCACGCCGCCACUGUCCACGCCGACUCCUCCUUCCCGGCGCUUCUGUAGUAAAGUACUAUGCGGAGGCGGCUCUGAAAGAGCGGGGCGGCGUAGGCGUUGGCAUUGGCGUUGGCAUUGGCGUUGGCGUUGGCGUUGGCGGCAGCGGCAGUGAUGUGGCGGAGACGCCGCGCACCGGGCUCCGUCACUCGGCAUGGUACUGUCGUUUGUAUCCCCUCGAUGUGGAGCUCUUUCGGGAGAAUUCGACCAGCCAUUAGAACACAGAAUUCAAACUACGAUGUUUGUGUUCCUUUUUUUUUUUGUCUUAUUUUUUUGGCUUUUUUAGCUAUAUUUGAUUUUACUCUUUUUGGAGGGAACUACAAUGAAGGGCGAUCGAGGAGAUUGAGUGAGGAGUACUUGAAAGAAAAAUAAAGAGUACCGCUGGGGGGAGUUAUCAGUUAUGCGAGUUGGCUCGUGCAGUUGAGCUAAUAAUUUAUAGGAACAUUUGCAUAGUAUUUAUAUUUUUUUGAGAAAGAGAACGUAGAAUACUACUCGUUUUAUUUAUUUUUUUAAAAGAAUAUAUAUAUUACACGAAUACUGAGACUUUCUCCAAGAUUCGAUUCGGUAGAAAUGCAUAAAGAUCCCUCAACUGUAGACGAUUUUGACAUCACCUCCCUCUUAACACUUUUUUCGUCGACAGCCUCUUUAUUUUUAUUUUUUUAUUUGCAUGAUUUUAGGAAUUAAAUUAUGGAGUUAUCUAAUUCAGUCAGUUCAGUUGGUCCUAGGACUUUUCAUUAAUUUAAAUUGCAUAGUAUUUUUUGACUUUGUAGUACAUAAAUUAUGAACCAUUUUAAUUUGAUUAUAAAUUUUUAAUUAAUUUUAAUUAAACUAUCCAAUUUUUUAAUUUAUUUGAUUGGAGUCAGUCGACGGCACUUUGACUAUCAAAUUUUGAUUUUAUGUCGUACCCCGAGAUUUUUUUAAAAAAUCCAUGUUAGGAAAAUAAGCAAAAAGACGUGUAAAUUUUUUAAAAAACACCCUGCAAAUGAACACAAACCCAUCACAUGAGUAAGGAAUCUCCUGUACAAACGGAUAGAACCUCUCCUAUCCUAUAUAUGCAUGGCAUAGCACCUGAAUACAAUAUCAACCAUACAUACAACCAAACAAGAAACAAUAACGGGUAAAAACAAAAAAGAAAAACUAAACUACUAACAAAGAGAUAAUUACAGAAAACUAAUAAUCCAUACACUAUAACAAAAACGGUGUAUAGCGACACUUUUAAAUAUCGGUACAGGUCAAAAAAAAGCAUUACUUGCUAAAUUACUGACACUUUUUGCUAUAUAUGGGGUCGCUAUAUGUAAGGCCGCCUUGAUGUUUGGCACUCACUCUUCCAGCGACUUGUGGCGGAGGGACACGUGGUGAUCGUAGCUCUCUACGGUCCCUGCGAGAUACUCGCGGCUGAACUCUAGCCGCCUGUAAUAUAUGAGAUUUGAAUAAAGGAAUUCAAAUUUAAAUUUUGAAUUUUGUAUGUGUAUAUAUAUAUAUAUAUAUAUAUAUAUAUAUAUAUAUAUAUAUAUGUGUGUGUGUGUGUGUGUGUGUGUGUGUGUGUGUGUGUGUGUGUGUGUAUAUAUAUGUGUGUGUGUGUGUGUGUGUGUAUAUAUAUAUAGGGUUAUAUUGGUGGUGUUGAGAGAUGAUGGAUUUCGUCACAAAUCGGCGACCAAAUCUGGCGAAACAAAAUAGUAGUUUCGAUGCCCCGAUCGUGUUGAAUAGGCUAGCGCAGUCCAUUCGCAAAUCCGACGAACGAAUCUCCCGAUAUCGCGCGAAGAUUGAGUAAGGGUUGAAAGUGGCAAAACGAAAAAUUCGCAAAACUCCCUAUAUUUUAUGUACCAUUUUGCGUGAUUUUGAACGUUGAGGUGCAUAUGCGCAAAAUACACGCGUUGUGAGGAACUUGUUAAAAAUAUUCAUCUUUGGAGGACUUUCAUGCAAAAUUACAUUUGGAGUAUACAUAGGCAUUAGGGUUUCAUGCAUGAAACCCUAACCCUAGUAGCUCUCCUCCCUUAGCUGACUUUCCUAACCGCCUUAGCACCCCCCCCUGCCUUAGCCGUGCGCGCCCCGACCGCCUACACAUGCCGCCGGCCACCGGAACAGGCUGUUCCUCCCUCUCUUUCAUUUUCUUCACCAACCUUCACCACACUUUGUUUGAGCAACAACCUGGAGGGGCUCCUCACCCUCGGGCUCCUCCCCUGGUCGUGCUUCGACCUCCGGCGACUUUCCCCACCGGUCGUUGCGGGCCCUGUGCGCCACCGUCGCCAUCUAGGUAACUUGCGGCCACCUAGAGCAAGAGCGGGCUGAGGCUAAGCCUCUUCUUUUGACUCGCGCCGCCACCGCCUUAGGCCAAUUGGGAUGCCCUCCUCUGACCUCCGGCGACCUAUAGCUAUCGCCCCAUAGCGCCCCGGCUGUCGUAGCUCCCUGAACCCGAGCCGAACCCGUGCGGGCGUGGGUUGCUCUGCCGCCAUGGCCGCCGCCUCCCGCCGCCGGCCAACGCAAGCCCCGGCUUCCACCCAUCGGCUGUACCCACCUGCCGCCGGCGUGCCCGCCACCGUUCCCCCGCCGGCCGUGCCCUAACUCCCCUUGGCCCGGUAAGCAUUUAUUAAGCUAUUUUGUGCCUCACUUCCAAUUCGGGUCACUAUUCUGGCAACCUAAGGGCACCCCGAUGCUUUCGGAAGUGAGCACAAUGAUCCCUUAUCAGUGCCGUUCAUCGUGCUUAUCUCCUUUGGGCUCAGUAAGCCCCAGUUUGCCAGAUAAGCGCAGUUUAGGUUUAGCGUGAGCAAUUCACUGAACUUUGUGUCGCCCCUGCACUCUCCACAGUGGACGGCUGUGUUCCGAAUCAUGAGCACGGCCUCUGGCACGUCGAAACCCGUCAGCAUGUGUCUCGGCCGGCCUCGAAAGCCCUCAGUUUGUGCUAUCGAGACAUAAAACCUCGAAAAUCACAAAAAAUAAUGUGAUUUUAGGUAUUUGAGGGGGCUUUUGUGCAAAUGUAUACUUCAUGGCUGCUGUGGGUAGUAUAUGCGGGUGGCGGGUGACCUCUGGACUGAUUGUCCAAGGUUUGAGGCCUUUGCAAAAAUCGAAUAUCGAUUUUCGGCAUAUUUUUCAGCGAAAUUCGUUGACAGAACGCGGUUUCGGUUUUGAUUCCUUCCAACGAUGUUGAAGCACAUUAUAUUUGUCGCUGAGCCUGGUUGGCUAGUCACUUACAUCGUUUCAAGGGUUCGGAGGCGACGGGUGAGAGAUUGUGGGUUCCGGUGUUGAAAUUGACACUUUCAAGAACCCGAAUCGAAGCGGCUAUUCGACGAUAAUCGUUUCCAUGUGAAUCUACGUGAUUGCUGCCAGGACACCCUUAUUAUGGUGUUGUGUGGCAGCGGGUGACUCGUGGUGCAAGUCAGUGAGUUUCGGGACACGUCGUGCGUCCGGAUGGAGUCCCGGUGCGAUUUUCGAAACUUCCGGUGAGUUACGGUAAUCGGUUUUAGAAAACCGAUUCUCGUGGGAUUAAUUGUGGGGUUGUGAGUUUAGUAUUCCUUAUAUAUGGGUUAGAUACUAACCCAAUGGACUCUCCGUAGGUCCAGUUGAUGUUCUUCCACAGUCGGGAGAUAGGUGCUACAUUUGUACAGGUGGGUACUUCGAUCUGAAGUCGGUACAGUGGUGCACACUCGGUGACAUUUUUUUCACCAUUUCUUUAUUAUUACCUUGCAUAUCAUGUGAUGAGCCUAACACCCCUUUUGACUUCUUAUUAUUGCUCUACUUGGUUAUUUUUCAUAUUCAGUAUCAUGAUUUAGAAGUAGAGCGAAUUAUCGGUUGUACUUGAGAUCUGUGACCUAUUCGGUCGGUUCAGUGAUUUUGGUAUUGUGAACUAUUUAGUCGGUUCGGUUACUUGAUAACCUACACGGUCGGCAUACCAUGAGGGGUAGGAUUGUCGGCUAGUUGCCGACAGUUGGCUAUUGAGUAUAUCAGUAUCGAUCGCCACUACUCGUACGCAUUUCACGAACACCAGCGUUCUGAUCCAUCGCAAGAGGGUGUUCUUUUUUGAAAAAUUAGUUGGGAGUGCCAGCCCGUGAGCCCAGAAGCCUAGUCUGGGUUAUAUGCAGGUAGAGUGGCAGUGGCACAGGCUUGAGGUCUGCGGACCGACAUGGAAGGUUUCUGAAUUUGGUAUAUUUGGGACUGAUCGUCCGGUUGAUGCACGCAUACAGUAGCGGUAAUGGCAUAUAUAUAUCCUGUUCUCUUUAUUUGUUAUUAUUACUGUAUUAUCGUUGUAUAUACCUUUAGUUAUCUCUUCCUUUACUGAUGAGUACCAUUCAUCUUCGUCCCCUUGCGGUACCCACUGGGAUGGGAGACAUGUGUACAUGUUCUUACCCCCCGCCAUUUUCAGUUGACGUUGCUCGUCCGAGCCGGGACAAGGCGUGAGACGCGUUGUUAGCGGUCAAUAAAGUUACGGCUCGGUGACAUUCGAUUUAGACUCUACCUUCUUUCCAUGAACAAAAUAACUUAGACAUUUUAUGCCUCAGUUGAUUUCUUUUCAGUUUGANUAUAUAUAUAUAUGGUUUUGUGAAGUUAAAUAAAGUACUUGUGGUUUUCAUGUGAAAUUAUGAAAACAGUUUCUACCCCUCAUGGUAGUUUGUUUUUAAAGGAAAAAGUUUUCGUAUGGAAUACGGUUUUAAAAAGGGUUUUUCGCUUUUCAUAAUUUUUAGUAUUUCAAAAUGAGUUUUUAGGUGGGAAACGUUUUAAACUGAUAGGUGUGGAUUUAUGAAUAAAAUAUUGUAAUCUUGUGACUGACCGAAUGUGAUUCGUAUUAUGUGAUGUGGUGAAUGUAUAUAGUUGUAUAUAUACUAUGGUUGUAUCUUGUACUUAUGUGACGCCGUGUAAAUAUAGAGGAGACCCUGUCCGUGUGAACAGUGGGUUUUCUAUAUUUGUAGCGGAUCUGAUAUCCCCUGGGAUCAAGGCUUUCAAAAGAAAAAAAAAAUUUUGGCGCUUCCGCAUCGAUUCUAACACUUCAAAGGAACCUCGGGGUGUGACACCGCCAAAACCCUACCUCAUCGGCUAUGGCGGCGGAAGAGGAGAAAAAGAGAUGGUGAUCAAUUUUUCUAUUUUUUUCUUUUAUAUUUGUAAUCAGGCCAAGUGAGCUGGGUGGAGUUGGUUAAGUAGAUGAACUUUUUUUUUUUGAUUGGAUUGAGCUUUAUAUUUAGGUCUUACUAGUUUUUUUUAAAAAAAAUUAUAUAAAUGGGACACUUAAACAAAAGUAUCCCAAAAAUGUGUCCCUAUAACCUAUUCUAUUGUAGAGAUAUAAGAAUCAAUUAAACUAAAGACUUAAACUGCCAUCUUAACAUCAUAAAUAAUUAGAAGGUAAUGAUCAAGAGAUAUUAAUCAAGAAUUAAACCAACAGAAACUGAAAACUGAACUAAGUACAGAAUUGUAAAGACCAAUGAGAGACCAAUAUAGGACAUAGCUAUCUAGUACCGUCCUCAUGUACCAUCCCUAUCCUCACCGACCAUGCUACCUGAAAAGAGAUGGGUGAGAAACAAAUCUAAAAUUUUUCAGUGAGUACCGCAAGCCAACGAAGGAAGGUUGUAUUCAUCGACAAAUGAGUGAUAAAAUCUACUGUAAUGAAUAGGAAAAGUAGAUACAUUAGUAAUGAAAUAAUAACAAGCAAUAAAUGCAUGAAUAACCACUACUAUUGAUAGAUUUUCUAGGUAUGUAAAAUAAGAAGAAAAUUAAAUACAUACCAAAAUUCAAAAUCAAAAUAAAAUAAGAUAACUCACAGAACGCCAUAGAGAAGAAAUUCUUGAUUAAUCUGCGGAAGCGAGAAUUUUGGCUAUGAUCUAGAAGUCACAAACCGCACUUAGGUAGUUUGGUUUCUAUUCCUAUCUCAGGCACUCUGCCGUUUGGUGCGAAACCGAUAGUAAUUCUUCACCAGAAUGCAUAUGGGAAGGCGGCAGGACCAAUACCCCUUUAUAUAGAGUCCAGAUCGACUUCCCAUCAAAGUCUGAUUGGGAUUCUAUUUAAAUUAAAUAGAUGGAAUAGGGAUAAAAUAUACCAUAUCACUAUCUAUUAGAAUUGACCUUUAUGUAGUGUCCCGAGGGUUUGGUAUCGGAUUGGUUUCAGUAUUAGCGAUUGGUCGACACAUUUGUAGAGUGUCGGACUGAAUCGGAAUUGUUUUUGCCCAAAAUGGAUGCGAAAACAGACUCGACGCACUCAAAUAAGAAAAACUAGAGUUUUUUCAGUUUCGGGCGCCCAGAACAUGGUUUGGGUCGCCCAGAACUGAGUACUGAACUGAACUGAAACUGGAAGCCAAUUCGGAUCCUGUUUUCGGGCGCUCAGAAGUGGGUCCGAAUGUUCACUUUGGGAGUAUCGACUGUGCUGACACGUGUAUGGUGGUAGGUGAGGUCCGCCGAACCAUGUUUAGGGCGCAUCAUACCGCGGGCGGAGGAACCGAAGAGGAGUGUUUGUUCAGCCUGGGAGUUUCGGACGCCUAGAAGUGGGUUUUGGGUGCUCGAAAGUGCAGAAUUCUGCAGGAGUAACGGGUUUGCAUUUUCUGUUCCUGAGGCCUAUUGUACCAUUCCACCUUCCUAUAAAAGCUUGGGUGCAAUCCCCUGCGAAGCUUUUUCACCCUUCUUCACAGAGAGACCUUAUUUUUGCACUCUAAUCCCUCAAAAUACUCCAAAUUAUCCAAUUCCAUCUUGAAGAUUGCAGUUCUAGCAGUUUUCCAGCAGCGACCUUCAGUGUUUUGGCUCGUGUGCUACGUAGGAAACUCCGAUUGCUGCGAAACUUGGUUUGGUGGUUAGAAGACUUCUUGGAGUUUUCGUGGAGCCCAUUUUGACAGCAUUUGAUUGAGGUUUGUAUGGUCAAUUUGAUAUUUUUCUGAGUUGUUGUUAUGCUUAAGCUGAAAUUGGGACUUUUAUGGUUUUCUUGGAUCAAUUCUUGGAGGAAGCUGGAAUUUCGACCAGAGGAGGUUGCUCCAUCAUUCUCUACAGGUUUUGGGACAUUUCUUCACCUAAAUGGAGAAUUGGAAGGUGAGUUUGACAUUGAGAUUUUGGAGAAUUUAAGUUUAAGGGCUGAAAUUGAAUGUAUUGAUGGAAACUUUGGAAUUUUGUACUUUGAUCCUUAGAGAGGUUUGUUGCUGGUUGGAGACUAAGCUUGGCAGGAGUUUUUCCAGCGACUUCUCACCUUGGUCGAAUUCGUGCUGGAGAUGGGUUAAUGAUAUGCUUACCGGAUUCUACGGAUUUUCUCCUAAGCCUAGUUGAUGUCAGCAUGUAUAUUUUUUAGUUUUUGUAUAUCAUGUUAUUUAGCUCGAAUUCGUUGAUUUGCUUGUUAAUUGAAAUCUAAAUUUGGAGCAUACAGUAGUGAUUUAGAUAAAUUAUACAUGUUGGACUUGGAACUUGACUUGGGAGAAAACUAUCGAUUCUAUACCGUCAUUUUCUCAAACUACCAGAUUUAGCUCUAAGAGCCGUAGUUUGUGUUGUAUCACUGCAGUUUGUGGGCGGUGGAUACCCAGGAUAGUGUAGAAUUAAUUUACGCUCGUGCUUGGAUACCGAGUUUAUUUUUACAGUAGUGUAUAGACUGUUCCGGACUGUCGGGUGCCGUUGCACGCCCCGGAUUACUCGUUUACUCAGGCACACUAACAGACCCGCCGUAUAUAUAGAAAUUUUCCGAGUAUACGAAGCGAUAGCUGUACCUGUACCUGUAAUCAUGCAACACUACAACCAGUAGUAUAGAGCUACUAAAAAGAAUGACAUAUAUAACAACAAAGGUUCACUAUACAUACAUAGUAUCCAGGUACACAAAAUUAGUCGCUCCAACGAGAUACAAAUAUCAGUAUGUAUAAGAACCAAAAACUACAACUAUCUGUAGCUGGUAUGCUCUAGAUCAGCAACAACCGAAAAGAGAUCUAGCUCGCAACUCCCUUUCCAUGAUCUGUAUAAGCAGUAGCAGCAGCCGCAACCGAAUGCUCUGCAAAAGAUCCACAACUGGGUGUGAGAACUACUGCAAAAAGAAGUAGUCCACAGUGGGUACAGCUACCGACCUCAACGGCUCACCUACUAAGUCUACAGAAGGGAUGUUCAAUGAUAGUAAAGGAACUGGAAAUAAUCUACAGCUACAUGCUACUAUACUAUCAUGAUCCAAUACUAACUAUCUGUAGAACAAUGCCAUCUCUGACCUAAUCUCACUAGGGACUGUGAAUACACCCGUCCUGCCUGUCGAAACUACAGUAACAACCACCACGCUGGGUAGUCAGUGGAGAGCGAGUCCAACCAGGACACAACGACACCAACGCAAAUGCACAAAGCCCGACUGCAGAGUGGUACUCGUGGGCGCUACCCAACCGAGUAUGUAAGUAUAUCUCUGUCGAGCUCAAUCAGGCUCUGACAGGGUAUAGUCAAAGUAAACAGGGUCUAACAACCAAACUCACGUGCCCUCGGCACAAUCUGAUGCAAAAAUAGUAAUCUGGGUCCACCAUCAACCUCAACAACACCCGACAGUCCGAAAGAGCCUAAACACUGCUGUAAAAAUAAGCUCGGUAUCCCAGUACGAGCGUAAAUACAUUCUACACUAUCUUGGGUAUCUACCGCCAACCAACUGCGGCGAUACAAAUAAACUACAACUCCUAAGCUAUCCGCGUAUCAAAUGCGCACUAACAGCGUGGAUACAAACCACAACAGCUUUCGAAGCUAUCUGAGUAUCAAAUGCGCACUACCAGCGUGGAUACGAACCGCAACCGCUUCAGAAGUUAUCAGAGUAUCAAAUGCGCACUAGCAGCGUGGAUACGAACCACAAUAGCUUCAGAAGCUAUCUGAUAGUUUUAGAAGGUGACAGUGUAGAACCUAUAGUUUUCUCCUAAGUCAAAUCCAAGUCCGACAUGUAUAAUUUGUUUAAAUUGAUAACUAAACUCCCAAUUCAGAUUUCAAGAUCAUGCAACUUCAUGAAUUUGAGCUAUUAAACAUGAUAAGAAAACACAACAAUACAUGCUGUCAACUGAAACUUAGGAGAAAAUCGUAGAAUCCGGUAAGCAUAUCAUUAACCCACCUCCAGAGCGAGUCCGACAAGCUAGAAGUCGUGGAGUCAUUGGGAAAACUCGGCCGCGUCCACCCUAGAACCAACAGCAAAACAACUCCAAAGAUCUAAACACAAAAACCACAAAAAUUUCAUCAAUAUUCUAAAUUUCAGCACUUAAGCUUAAAUUCAACUAAUUCCAAUGUCAAAACUCAUCUAUCAAUCAACCAAUCCACAAUUCAAGUGAUGAACAGACCCAAAACCAGUGGAGAAUGAUGGAACAACUUUCUCUGGUCGAAAUUCCAGCUUUUUCAAAGAAUUGAUUCAAGAAAUCCAUAAAAAUUUAGAAAUUCAGCUCCAAUACAAUUGCAGCUCAGUAAAGCACCAAAUUGACCAUACAAACCUCAAUCAAAUGCUGUCAAAAUGGCUCCAAAAAAUCUCCAAGAAGUUAGCUAACCACAAAACCAAGCUUCGCAGCAAUCGGAGCUUCCUACAUUACACAUGAGCAAAAACGCCGAAGGUCGCUGCUGGAAUUCUGCAAAGACUGCAAUCCUCAAGGUGGAAUUGUGGAAUUUGGAGUAAUUUGAGGGGUUAAAGUGCAAAAUAAGGGUCUCUCUGUGAAGAAGGGUGAAAAAACUUCUCAGGGGAUCACACCCAAGCUUUUAUAGGGAGUUGAAAAGGUCUGAUAAGCCCCCAGGAACAAGAAACACUAAUCUGUUGUCCAUGCAGAAACGGGCACUUUCGAGCGCCCGAAACCAAGUUCUGGGCGCCCGAAACCAAGUUCUGGGCGUCCGAAACCUCCAGGCCACACAAACAUUCCUCCUCGGUUUCUCCGCCCGCGAUAUGCUCCGCCUUUAUCCUGGUCCGGUGGAUCUCACAUACUACACACACGUGUCAGCACGGUCGAUAUUCCCAAGGUGCAAAUUCGAACCCACUUCUGGGUGCCCGGAACACAGGAUCCGAAUUGGCUUCCAGUUUCAGUCAGUUCUGCACUCAAGAUCUGGGAGACCCAAACCAGGUUCUGGGCGCCCGAAACUGGCAAAACUCCAGUUUUGCUGAUUUGGGUGCGCCGAGUCUGGUUCUGCAUUCAUUUCGUGCAAAAACAUCUCCGACUUAGUCCGACACUCUCCAGAUGUGUCAACCAGCCAAUAAUACUGUAGCCAAUCCGAUACCAAACUUCCGGAACACUACAGCCGUUGUGGUUGACGUUGGGCCCAGUUUGUAGUUUUUGCAUUGGGUUGUGCCGAGGGCACGUAGAUUAUGGUUGUUCGACCUGUGAGACCUUUUCACUUGAAUUACAGCCUGUGAGAGCCUGAUUGAGCUCGGCAGAGACACGCUUGCAUACUCGAUUAGGUAGCGCCCACGAGUGUCACUCUGGAGUCGGGCUUAGUGCUUUUGCAUUGAUGUCAGUUUGUCCUAUUUGGACUUACUCUCCACUGACGACCUAGCGUGGUGGCAGUUAAUGUAGCUUCGACAAGCGGAACGGGUGUGUUCACAGCCUCUAGUGAGAUUGAGUCAGGAUUUGCAUUUUCUACAGAUAGUUAGUUUUGGAUCAUGAUAGUAUAGUGGCAUAUAGCUGUAGAUUUGUUUCAGCUUUCCUUACUAUCCCUGUUUACUUCUGUAGACUUAGUGGGUUAGCCGUUGAGGUCGGUAGCGGUACUCACUGAAGACUACUUCUUUUUGCAGUAGUUCUGACACCCAGUUGUGGAUCCUUUUUGCAGAGCCUUCUUCUUCGGCUGCUGCUAUCGUGGUUACUGAUCGUGGAAAGGAAGUCGCGAGCUAGAUCCCUUCCCUGUUGCUGCUGACCUAGAGAUAUAUAUACCAGCUACAGAUAAUUGUAGUUUUUGGUUCUUAUACAUACUGAUGUUAGUAACUAGCCGGAGCGAGUAUUUUUGUACCAGGAUACUAUGUAUGUAUGUUGAACUGAUGUUAUUUUUUUAUCUGUAUUUCUUUUAGCAGUUCUAUAAUACUAGUUGUAGUAUUUAUGANCCUGUUGCUGCUGACCUAGAGAUAUAUAUACCAGCUACAGAUAAUUGUAGUUUUUGGUUCUUAUACAUACUGAUGUUAGUAACUAGCCGGAGCGAGUAUUUUUGUACCAGGAUACUAUGUAUGUAUGUUGAACUGAUGUUAUUUUUUUAUCUGUAUUUCUUUUAGCAGUUCUAUAAUACUAGUUGUAGUAUUUAUGAUUUCAGGUACAGGUAGAGCUAUCGUUUCGUAUGCAGGAAAAAUUUCUAUGUAUACGGCGGAUCUGUUAGUGUGCCCGGGGAAAUGAGUAAUCCGAGGCGUGACACUUUAUCUAUAGUAAAUCCAAAUUUGAAUAUGAUUAAUUUGGUGACAUUUAUGAAAAUCCUAACAAUAUAAUCUACUGUAAUGAAUCGGAAAAGUAGAUACAUUAGUAAUGAAAUAAUAACAAGCAAUAAAUGCGUGAAUAACCACUAUUAUUGUGACGCCCCACUUCCCAGGGGCUCGCCUAUUCUAGGAUUACUCUAGUCCUAGCACGCUUAAUUCUCUUAACCUCUUAAGACUAGUCACCGCUCAAAAUAAUAUAGCCUGAUUAAGAGCUUUUUAGUCCUAUUAUAUCUUAUAAAUAGCACUACCUGCGACCUGACAUUAUCCCUUCUCCCUUCCCUUUAAGCCCUUGACAUCCUCGCCAAGCACAUACUCAAAAGUAAUAGGUGAUGUGAGACUCGUCUCACUAGCCUUGAUGGACCUUACGUGGGAGCCGUAUGUGGGAGCCGUGCUCUGUCUACAACAGACAUCAACAUACGAGCCUCACUCUCCCCACUAUAUAAUCUGGGCCAGCCGAGACUUAUCUCUCACUUUUGCCUGGUAAUUGGCUUCGAUACUAACUAUGACGCCCCACUUCCCAAAGGGUCACCUAUUCUAAGACUACUCUAGUUCUAGCAUGCUUAACUCACUUAACUUCUUGGGUUUAACCACUGUCCAAAAUGUUAUAAUCGGUUUAAGAGUUUUUUAGUCCUACUAUAUCUUAUAUAUAUGACUUCCUGGGAUUUCAUAACUAUAAGGUAAGAUAGGAUUCGAUACACAACUACAAUAUACAAGAAUAUAGGUACAAUAGCAGUAAUAACAAGAAGAGAACUAAAAACACCAAUCAUUACAUAAAUGGGCACUACUGUAAUGAACAACAGUAUAUAAAGUGCGUCAAAUGGAUGAAUAAUACAAAUAAUUCAAUCAACUGCUCUAUUGGUCUAAAGACCUUAGGCAAAACUACAUCAUGCUCGCCCUUUGUGUGAUGCCCCAACUUCCCAGGGGGGUCGCCUAUCCUAGGAUUGCACCCAUCCUAGCACAUUUAACUCUCUUAAUCUCUUGGGACUAGCCACCGCCCAAAAUGUUUAAGCCGGAUUUUUAGAGUUUUAGCCCUAUUACAUCUUAUAUAUAGGAUUACUUGGGGUCUCAUAUUCCCCCCCCUCUAAGCCCUGACGUACUUGUCAGGCUCAGGCUCACAAAUACUAGAUGAUGUGAGACUCGUCUCGCUAACCUAAACCGAUCUUGUGAUGAGCUGCGUACCACCCACAACAGUCAACAGCAUAAGAGUCUCGCUUUCCUUGCUGUAUAAUCCUGGCUCAACCAAGAUUUAUCUUACACUUCUGGCUGGUAAUUAGCUCAGAUAUCAACUGUAACUGUAAGGACUGAGAUUUUUGCAGUGUAGCUAAACUCUCAGUUGACGAUGUUUUUGUGUGUAAUUUAAUUACAAAAGCACUCGUCAAGUUUCGGGCGAAAUCGAGUUAAAACGGAAAUUCUACGCGAUUUCCAAGUUUCACUUAAAGUGAAUAGUAACUCGAUUUUCCGGAGAAGCCGCGGUGAGAAGUUGGCUUCUGGCUCGUACCGGACUCUGUCAUAGCAGUCCAAUAGCUCGUUUCGACCGGGUCAGCUAUUCUGGAACUAAUGACGCUGACGGAUUUUGAGUUUGACGCACGGAUUUCGAGAAAAUUCAAAAAUACAUGUUUUAUAUGUAUUUUUGUGUGUGUUUCCUUCUAUUCGAAGAAGGUUGGAUUUUGUCGUGAAUCCGUGGUCGAUCAAGACGAAACGAAAUCGCAGCUUUGUUGUCUCCGAGGUGCUGAUCGCACCGGUGCAAUCCGUUCGCAAAUCUGACGGACGGAUCUGCGGAGAUCGCGCGUUGAUCGAGGAGAGGUCGGUAGUGGCAAAACGGUAUUUUCGCGAAAGUCGCGAUAUUUUAUGUACCGUUUUGCGUGAGAUCGCACGUGGAGGGUCGUUCACGCGUUUUAGUCGUUCGGUGAAGGGCUCGGAUUGAAAUUCCGGUGUUUGGUGGACCCUUUUUGCAAGUUGCGCCUUGUAUAUAAGUCUCUUUAGAGUUUGGAGCCACUCAACCCUAACCCUAGCUACCCUAGUCUCCCUAGCCACCUUCAUCUCCUUCCCCUGCACCUGCUGCGCGUGCCCAGGCCGCCGCCGACCGAGCCCCGGCCGGCCAACCACCGCGACAGCCACCACUUCUCUCUUUCUCAAUCUCUUUCUCUCUCCCUCUCUCCUCUCGGGUUGUGUGAAGGCCCGGGGCUGUGCCUCCUGCUGACCCUCCCCUUGGACUUCACCGUGCUCCGGCAACUUUCCCCGCCGACCGCCGCCGUCGCCUGCGCCGCCGCAGCCGCUCCUGCCGCCUGCAGCAGCCCAGGCCGAGCCUGGCCGAACCGGGUUGCCGCAGCCACCAGCGCGCCGCCGCCGCCUGGAAACUCUCCCGCCGCCGUCAACGAAGCCCCGGCACCCCUUCCCGCCGGUCGCCGCCGCCCCAGCGCGCCGCCGCCGCCGCCUCGGCAGGCUGCAGCCGCCCAACCCGAGCCCAGGCCGAGGCAAGCCUGCGGCCUUUUUCUCUGCGCCGCCGCCACCGUGGACCACCCCGGCCGGCUUCCCGGAGCCCGGGCACCCCUUCCCGCCGGUCGCCGCCUCCCCGGUGCGCCGCCGUCGCCGCCUCGGCCAGCCGCAGCCGCCCCAGCCCCGCUCUGGCCGAGGCGAGCGUGCGACGCUCCCCCUGCGCCGCCGCCGCUUGGGUCCGCACCAGAAUCACUCCCCCGACCUCCUGUAGCCCGCCUCCGCCGUCCCGGAGCUCCCCGGCCGCCGCCGUGGCCGCAGCAACUCCUGGAACCCGAGCUCGAUCUCGUGCGGGCUCGGUUUGCUCCGCCGCCGCCGCCGCCGCUUCCAGCCGCCACGUGAGGUGAGCACGGUGUUCCUCACCUCCCCCUCACCUGACUCAGGGCCCCGCGCACGCCGUCGUGCCGCCGGAGGCCGGCCGGAGCAAGGUUGCUCCGGCCAAGCCCGAAAUGGAGCUUAUUGAGUGGGUUUCUCGUUCUGGGCUUCCCGAGCCUCCCCGAUCUGUACGGAAGGGAGCACGAUGAUCCUGGCAAGUUGCUGAUCAUCGUGCUCACCUUAGUUUCUGUCGGGGAGACUCCGUUCCACUGUUUUUGGCGUUGUCGCUCCGUUUCAGCCUGUUUGGCUGCUGUUUUGGGUUUGCGCACGCUUAUCCGGCGAUCCGAGGCUGUCCUGAUGCCUCCGGAGGUGAGCACGGUGAUCGUUGGUCAGUGAUGAUCACAGUGCUCACCUCACUUUGGAUCAGAAGUGUCCGGUUAGUUCUGUUCGGCGCGAUCUUCCCUGACUGCGCGCUAUUCGUUGAACCUUCGGGUUGCUCCCGCGCUUCCCACAGCGAGCCGCUGUGCUCCGGAUCGUGAGCACGGACUCCGGUACGUCGAGACCUGUCAGUACGUGUCUCUGCGGACUUCGGAAGUCCUCAGUUUGCGUGAACGAGCCGCUUGAUCGCUCAAAUUACAUAAAAUGAUGAUAUUUUAUGUAAUUAGAGGGUCUUUUAUGCAUUUGUGCUUUGCGUGGCUACUGUGGGCAGUGUGUAGGAGUUUGUAUUGAUCGCUGGACUGAUUGUCCAUGGUCCGUUAGCUUUUGCGGAAAUCGGUAGGUCGAUUUCGGUGCGUUUUUCGGCGAAAUUCGCCGAAAGAACGCGGUUUCGGUUCGGAUUCUUUCCGACGGUGUUUGGUUGCUUCGUGUUUUGUCGCUAAGCCUUGUUGGCUAGUCACCAUCGUCAUUUUGUGGGUUCGAUGAUGAUAGGUGAGCGACGGAGGGUUCCGGUGUCGAAAUAGACACUUCCGGGAACCCGGAUUCGUACGAUGAUCCGGCGAUGAUCGUAUGUUGUGUUACCUCGUGUUCGCUGCCAAGACAUCCAAAUUGGAGUGCUUUGGGGCAGCGGGUGACUCGUGGCACGAGUCGGUGAGUUCGGGACACUUAGUGGGUCCCGACGGCGUCCCGGUGUGGUUUUCGGGACUUCCGGUGAGUUACGGGGAUCGGUUUUGGGAAACCGAUUACGGGGAUCCUGUGUGGGGGUUUGUGAGUCUCGUGCUUUGGGUUAGUGGUUUGGAUACUGACUUGGUGGAUCUUCUUAGGUCCGGUAGACUUUUUUGCAGUCAGGAGACAGGCGCGACAGUGACAGGUGGGUGCUUCGAGCUGGUAGUCGGUGAGAGCGUUUCACUUCCUUCUCCUGUUUUUCUAUUCCUGUGUUUAGACUCUACAUGUCAUUGCUUGUUAUCGUUUGGUUAUCGUACCCCUUGAUUGCAUUGUAUAGUUGUGGAUAGACAUGUAGAGCAGGUUGCAUUUGUAUUUCAGUAUCUCUGUGGACCUUGGGUCCAGGCAACACAUCGACUCUCUUGUCGUGUGUUUCGAUCUGGUUGAUCGAGGUUCGGCAUUGUACGCUCUAGCUUCUAUUUCAGUUUGGCAUUGUACGCCCUCGUUGUUGGCUUCGGCCUAGGCACCGGCUUUAGCCGGGUUUGUUUUUGUUUGAGCAUACCAGCAUGACUUAGUCACGGCACUUGGGGGUAUUCAUGACACCGGAUCGGUUUGGCCACCGAUCGGAGGUGUACUUAUCCGGAUAGGUCGUCCUGCGGGGCGGAUGGAUCAGGUCGGUGCAGUUGGUGACAGGUAGCACUUGAGGUCUGCGGACCGAUACAGCAGGCACAGAUUGGGUACAGUUUCUGGUUCAGUACAUUGAGGCAUUCUUUGCAUUGUUUUCUAUACAGUAGCAGGUUUAUUUAUUGCUUCCUAUUUAUCUGUUGUAGCUACUGUAGUUCUAUUUCAUAUCAGCUUACAGAUAUAUAUUUGUUUAUCUAUCUCCUUUGGUUUUCGGUGAUUACGACUUGCCUUCGUGGCUCUGUCGUACCCACUGAGAAAACCAUGGUUGCGGUUUCUCACCCCCCCUUUCCCCCAGGUGACAGAGACGAGAAGUUGGACUUUGGGCUCGACGAGAGGACGAUCUAGUUAGACGGCAGUAGCGACCGUCACCCUGGUUAUUUCUUUCCCGCACUUAGUAGUUUUCUUAAUAAAUGGUUCAGUUAGAUGUUUGAAUGUGGUGAUUUCCGUUAUGCAUGAGAUUAUGGAUGUUUUAUUAUACAUGAGAUUGGAGUUUUCGAUCUGUGGUUUUGGUUCUGUGGAGAUUUGGUUUUCUUGUAGUCCUGCAUCGUGUUUUUCUACCCCUCGAGGUAGUCGGUUUUCAAAAUAAAGUUUCCGUGUGGGAAACAGUUUUAAAAAGGUUUUCGAAUGGCUUUUAUAAAUGAUUGAAUUAGAGUUUAAAAACAAAAGCUUCCAUGUGGGGAGCACUUUUAAAUAUGAUGUUUGUUGUAUUGUGCAUCGCAUCAUCCAGCGCCUAAGGAGUGCUUAGAGGCAUGCAUCAUUCUAAGGAUUGUUAGCUGUAUGGAAAUGUGUGACGCCCCAACUUCCCAGGGGGUCACCCAUCCUAGGACUACUCCCGUCCUAGCACGCUUAACUCUCUUAACCUCUUGGGUCUUGCCACCACCCAAAAUGCUUAAGCCGGGUUAAGAGUUUAGCCCUAUUAUAUCUUAUAUAUAGGACUAUCUGGGGUCUCACAAUCUCCCCUCCUUUAAGCCCUGACGUCCUCGUCAGGCUCAGACUCACAAGUACCAGGCGAUGUGAGACUCAUCUCGCUAGCCCGUCAUCCAGACCCUGGCUCAGCCGAGACUCAUCUCACAUUUCCGGCUGGUAAUUGGCUCUGAUACCAUCUGUGACGCCCCGACUUCCCAGGGGUCACCCAUCCUAGGACUACUCCCGUCCUAGCACGCUUAACUCUCUUAACCUCUUAGGUCUAGCCACCACCCAAAAUGCUUAAGCCGGGUUAAGAGUUUAGUCCUAUUAUAUCUCAUAUAUAGGACUAUCUGGGGUCUCACAAUCUCCCCUCCUUUAAGGUCCUGACGUCCUCGUCAGUCCAAUCACACACAGCCCAAGAUCACCAGGCUAUGUGAGACUCGUCUCGCUAGCCCGUCAUCCAGACCCUGGCUCAGCCGAGACUCAUCUCACACUUCCGGCUGGUAAUUGGCUCUGAUACCAUCUGUGACGCCCCAACUUCCCAGGGGGUCACCCAUCCUAGGACUACUCCCGUCCUAGCACGCUUAACUCUCUUAACCUCUUAGGUCUAGCCACCACCCAAAAUGCUUAAGCCGGGUUAAGAGUUUAGUCCUAUUAUAUCUCAUAUAUAGGACUAUCUGGGGUCUCACAAUCUCCCCUCCUUUAAGGUCCUGACGUCCUCGUCAGUCCAAUCACACACAGCCCAAGAUCACCAGGCUAUGUGAGACUCGUCUCGCUAGCCCGUCAUCCAGACCCUGGCUCAACCGAGACUAGCCACACAUGUCCAGCUGGUGAACCGGCUCUGAUACCAAAUGUAACGACCCAGCCCACUAGCAAUAAUAACUCGUUGGGCCCAGUCAACAGCCCAAAAUGCUUAAGCCCAGUUAUUAUUACUAGUGUCUAAGUCUCUUAUAAACCCAAUGACAACCCCUUUCCCAUCCGAUGUGAGACUAUUGGGAUGUCACAGACUCCCCCCGUUAAGGCCCUGACGUCUUCGUCAGUCCUCACACACACAGCCCAAGAUCACCAGUUCUGAUACCAAAUGUAACGACCCAGCCCACUAGCAACAAUAACUCGUUGGGCCCCAACCACCGACCCAAAAUGCUUAAGCCGGGUUAAGAGUUUAGCCCUAUUAUAUCUUAUAUAUAGGACUAUCUGGGGUCUCACAAAAUGCAUAUCAUGUCUUGGUUGUUGAUUGGUAAAUGUAGGUUGUGGUUGAAAUCCUGUUGUAUCGUUGGUACGCCGUGCAAAUACAAAGGAGACUCUGUCCGAGUGGACAGAGGAACUUUGUAUUUGUGGCGGGUCUGUACGUCGCGUGGGCCAGGUUGAGAAAGAGGUAUUUAAAAAAAAAAAAAAAAAAAAAUGGCACGUUUUCCGCAACUCUGUUUUAAAAAGACUUUUAAAAUCGGCCCCGGGGCGUGACAGUAACACCCCAACUUUCUAGGGAGUCACCUAUCCUAGGACUACUCCUGUCCUAACACGCUUAACUCUCUUAAUUUUUUAGGCCUAGCACGCUUAAGUCGGAUUUUUAGAGUUUUAACCCUCUUAUAUUUUAUAUAUAGAACUAUCUGGGUUCUCACACCCUAGCAUAUAACCCUAGCAAGUACUAUUACGACGCUCAUGGGUCAAAAGAUGUGAUUCAAAUGGUUGUUCGAUUUAUAAAUUUAUUUGAGGAGAGGGACCUACUGAACAAUUUGAUAAAGUUUGGAAAGUUUUAUUACCAAAAACUAAAAGUUCAUGAAUUUAAUUAAAAAAAGUUCUAAAGUUGAAGAGACAAUGCUAUUGGUACACCUCAAAAUAGGCUUCCAAGAUUAUUAAUAAUCUACUUGUUAUAUUAAAUUUUUUUUAUUUUUACUAAAACCCAUUUAAAUUUUAUCAACUCUAUUCUAGAGGGUGUAAAUUAAAUAUAUAGCUUUUUUUUUUUUUUGCCGAUGUACAAGAAACAUUUUCCAAGUUUAAGCGGACUAUCCUCAAGUUUAAAAUUGCCUCUUCGACUUUGACUCUUUUCAUUUAUACACCAUACUGUCAAAUUGUCUUAAUUAGACUUCUCUGCUAGUAAAAAAUGUUAGCAAUUUUUAAUUUUAUUAGUUGUCAUUAACUAUAUAGAACAAUGAGAGAUUGAGGAGUAGUUGAGAUCUAAAGGACAGCGACUACAAUUAAACAAAUGAGCCUCCGCCAUUAAGAUACAAUAAAUUUUCUAAUAAAAUUAAAAUAAGUUGAUAAAAGGUAUAAAUCAAAUCAACAAUGGUUUGUUUGGUUUAUUUAUUUUAGACUCUGUAACCUAAAUAAAAAUUCACUGACUCAGAUAGUAGUUAUUAGUUUUGCAAGAAUUGGAUUCCGAUUCUCAUUUCAUUCUGAAAUAAAAAUGAUUCAAUAUAUUUCUUUUCUAAUUUGGUUUUGAAUUCUGGAUUAACUCAUUCUAGAAUAAACUAAUCAAAACUCUCUCCCACAAACAUCCUUCUCUCCUCUUUCCUCAUCAUUCUCUUCUCACUUGUCCAAAACAUUCUCUCAAAAUCGAUAAAUGAUCCAAUUGUUCAUUCCAAUUUUUAUUCUAAAAUAAAUCGAAUAUUUAUGGAUCAUCCACAUUCUACUUACUAUUGUAAUGCAAUUUAGUUUAAUUGCCUAUUGGCAUGGUAAUCAUGAAUCAAACUAAUAACAGGUAAAUUACACUUUGGUCCUCAAAUCAUGGGGCGCAUAACAUUUUAGUCCUCAAACUUUCUGAAUUAUAGCAAUAUCGUAAAUAAUUAUAUACAAUGAUAAUUAAAAUGCUAUGUCACUUAGACAUUACUAAUUAAUCGAUCAAUACUUAUUCAAGAAAAUUAAAUUGUGAGAUUUGACUAUAAUAAUUCAAAAAGUUUGAGAAUUAAAAUAUUACAUGCCUUAUAGCUCGAACAAGAAAUGGCAACUAAUUAAAGUUUAAGAAGUAAAGCUUCACGGGACUAAUAGUUUGAGCCAAAAAUUACAAUAUGUUAAAUUUCGAGGAUUGAAGUUUCAGCCCCCUCAUAGUUUGAGGAUCAAACGCGUAAUUUUUUUAUUCUAAAGAACAAUGUUAGAGAUAAACUCAUAAUUGGGUAAAAGAUCUACUACACCUAUUUCAUCCAAGGGUGGAUGUGUUUUACUAGUCACAUGAUGUGACUAAUGGGUAAUUCUUCACUUAUGAAUGAGUGGAGAGUAAAAUGUACACACACUUUUCGAUGUACAACUAGUUUUUUUUUUUUUUUUUGUCCGCUGUAAAAGUUGAGUAAGUCAAUUUCAAACUAAGAUACAUAGCACAUAAGUCUCCUACAUUUUGCUAGCAUUAGUAAGUUGGGGUGCCUCGGUGCUCGGUACACAAUGUCGGUGUUUAGCCUAACUAUUAAAAAGUGAUUCUAGGUCCAAAAAUAAUUUUCGAUUCAAUAGAGCAUUUGACAAUCUCGUUUUUAAAAUCUGACUCUAAUUUUUAUAAGUAGUUUUUUUUAUUUUCGAAAUUCAAAAUUAGAAGCAGCUAAGACCUGAUUUUUAGAAUAAAUUUUUUGAUUUUCGAGACCCAAAUUUAAAAAAUAACUAAGACUCGCUUCUUGAAAUCUAAUUCUGAUUUUGAACUCAGAUUUUAAAAUUGUAUUUUAAUUUUAGAUUUAAAUUUUAAAUUUAAAUUCAAAUCUACUUUUUAAAUUUUAUAUUUUUAUGCAAAUUUAAGAUGGAGAAUUUCAAAUUUAAAAAUUUAAAUUGAAAUUAAAAAUUUAAAUUUAAAUUUAAUAAUUUAAAUUUAAAAUUUAAAAUUAUUUUUAAAUAAAAUUUAGUAAAAAGAUUAUUAUAUGAAAAUAUCAAAAAAAUUUUGCCAAACAUUUUUUUCAAAACUACUUCAGAAAAAUUAUUUUCAUCUAAACUUUGCGAGACACUUUAUAAUUUUUAAUCAAAAUUAAUUCUCCAAACCAGAAUUAAUUUUAUAAAAAUUACUUUUUGCAGAAUUUAGGCCACAUAAAUGCUGCAAAAAGGGUCUCGUUGGUUGGAUUGAUGAUUAAUGGCAAUGUAGACGUCCUGGAGGAGAGAUCCAACGGUGGGUGGCUGAGCUGGACUCAUCGGACGGCUGCGAUUGGGCGGGAAGUGGUCACAAUUGGGGCAAAAUCAGUAAUUACUUAGCGGAGGUAAUUAAUAAGCUGUUACAGCUCCCACCAACCUGCGUGGUAUCGUCCUCGCUAAUUAAUUUGCGCCACGCGUCCAAUUAGGUGGUACAGCAUGGCCUCUGUACCCCUUUUUCCCCCUUUUUUUUUUUUUUUUCCUUGUUUUCAUUUUCAUUCGGCUUCAUUCUCACUGUAUAUGAUGGAUAGAAAAUUAAAAUAAUUAAUAUAUGCUGGUGUAAUUACCCACGUGAUGUGGCAGAUAGGUAUAUUAUCGAAGUAAUUUUUUUAUAUUAUAGUUGAUUAACAAUGAUAGUCAGAAAUUAUAUAUACAUACAUAUAUAUCUAUACUAGUUAUAAAGGAGGGGGUUUUAAAAUUAAUUGAGAAUUAAAAUUUCUAUAUCCAAGUGAGAACACUUUUUAUAAAUCAAUCAUAUUAGCGAGUACACCAGAACAGUAGAGUGUUCUGAGUAUCGUAGGUAGUUAGUAUCGCUCUUUUUUUUUUAUCUUUAAGGCACUCUAAUUCAUUUCUUUCGUUUUUAUUUUAUUACAAUAAAAUAUAGGAUAAAAUAUGAUAUGAUUUAUUUUAGGAUAAAAAAUAUAUAUAAAUUCAAAAUCAAGCAUGAUCACUUACUUGAGAGCUAAUAGUCAAUCCAUAAAUAACAUAUUAUAAUAAAAUAAUUUAUAGUCAGGAGCCCUAUAGGAUAAAUUGCACUGCUACCUCCUGAAUUUUUGACGAGUUUCACUUAACCCCCCAAACUCCUAAAAUAGAUAUCUAACAUACUAAACUUUAAUAUUUCAUUCGCUUUACCCCUUCCGUCAGUUUCCGGUUAACAGAGCUUGACGGAAAAUUGACGGAAUGGAUAAUAUGAAUGAAAUAUUAUAGUUUAGGGUGUUAAAUGUCCAUUUUAGGAGUUCAAGGAAUAAAGUGAAACUUCGCUAAAAGUUCAGAAAGUAACAAUACAAUUUACUCUAUAUAUAUAUAUAUAUAUAUAUAUAUAUAUAUAUAUAUAUAUAUNCUAGAUCAUGUUCAACGGUGCCGAUCGUCGAUUUGGAAGCUCUAUCAUCAAAAACAAAUCGGUAGUAAACCGAGCAGUUUGCUACCGAUGGUAGCCCAGUCACUCUCUCUCUCUCUCUCUCUCUCUCUCUCUAUAUAUAUAUAUAUAUAUAUAUAUAUAUAUUACUCUAAAUAGAGAGAGAGAUUUGGAGAGAGGUGGAAGUCGACAACACCGAUGCCAUCGUCGGCCUUAUCAAUGACGUGUAUAAUGUCACGCCCCGGAUUACACUUUCCCCGGGCACGCCGACAAAUCCGCCGUAUACAAAGGAAUUUCCCCUGUAUACGAAGCGAUAGCUGUACCUGUAAAUCAAACACUACUACAAACAGUAGUAGAGAGCUGCUAGAGAAAACUGAAGCUAAAUAAAACAGAGUUUCAUAUACAUAGAUCAGAUCCAAAAUACAGAGCUACUCGCACUGGCGAGUUAAGUCAACUAUGUACAUAAACUCGAAACAAAACAUCUACCUGCAGUAGGGCACCUCUAGCUCAGCACGUCGGGUAGGGCUCUAACUCGCGACGCCCUUGCCUCGAUCCUGGUCCGCAGACGGUGCAGCAGCCGAAGCCGGUGGCUCUGCAAAAACAUAGGUAACAACUGGGCGUGAGAACUACUGUAAAAACAAGUAGUCCUCAGUGGGUACCGCCCAAAACAACAUCGGUCACCCACUAAGUCUACAGAAGGGAGUAAGGAUAGAAGGAAAGCAGGAAGCAUACUCUACCGCUAUCACCCACUACACUAUCAUGCUCUACACUAACCCACUGUAGGAAAUGUCAAAUCUGACCCAAUCCAAGUCGGGACUGUAAGCAUACCCGUCCCCGGGACUGUGAAUACACCCGUCCCUGCCCCGUUGCGACUAUCGGGCUCUAUCCACUCUAACUGGUCCGUGGAGAGCAAGUCCAACUGGCAUGAGCGACACCAACGCAAAAGCACAAGCCUGACUCCGGAGUGGCACUCGUGGGCGCUACCCAACCGAGUAUGCAGCGUAUCUCUGUCGAGCUCAAUCAGUCGCUCCAGACCUAGCCAGACUCAAGGUAGUCGACUCCUAAAUGGUUUAUAACCAACAGGUAACGUCCCUCGGCACCAAACUGACGCAAAGCAAAGGCGAUACACGGGUCCCCACCGUCCAACUCUGACGCACCCAAACAGUCGGAACAACCUGAACGACCCCUGUAAAAAUGCCACCCGGCGAACCUAGCACGAGUUAAAAAUGGCGUAAAAAAACGGUGGUGUAAAUUUAAGGGGUAUGGUUAAAAGGUAAAAAAAUGUGGCUAAAAUACAUUCAAACUACCUGCGAGUACUCGUCUCGAAGCAACUGCGACAAGUACAAUUUUCUGACGGCUCCUAGAGAUAAAUCAAGGUAGUUAAAACUGGUGACAGGUCCAAAUCGCAAGUUUUCCCUAAUUCAAUUUCCAAGUCCAACAUGUAUAAUCUAAUUACUUAAUAAAAUAAUGCUCGCCAAAUUCAGAUUUGCAUUCUAGAUAAUAAGUCAUGAAUUUGAGCCUAAACUAUUGUAAAGAAAUACGAUUUUAUACAUGUCGACUAAUAAUACUUAGGAGUAAUACGAUAGAACCCACCUAAGUGCUAUCUCCGCCAGCAAACGAACGCCUCGGCCUAGAAGGAAACUCUGCGGAUCAAUCGGGGAUCUCCAAGGUCCGGUCGGCCAAGCCAACGCCUAAGCUAGAGACGACAAAAAUCCACCAAUUCAGUCCCCGUUCACACAGACCUGAGAAAGGUUCCAGUUUUGACCAAUGCUAAACUUGUCCAAUAAUAUGCAUAAUUGAGGCUCUGUGGUAUAUCGCUCGCUGUCUAGAAUUCCAAUAACCAGUUUUUUCGGUUCCGCGAUCCGACGCUCCUACGCGGAGAACGAGCCGAAAUACUAACAGUCGACGCAGGAAAUCUGUGAAAAUCAGCACUAUGCUCGUUUGAAGAUGGUUGAGGUACUCGAGGUAAUUGCGACCAAAUUACCUACCUCAACAGCGAUGAACAGCGGUGCGGCGGACAGGAAACGGCGAAGACGCACCCUCGCCCGGCCGCUCGCAGCGCCCGGCAACACGUGCGCUCGAUUGGCUCGCGGCGCGACUCGGCGACGAAGUCCUCAACCGUUGCUCCGAUCGGCCUAGAGAGAGAGAGAGGGAGAGGAGAUGGUGAAAACUCUCUCUCUCUCAGCCCAAUCCACAGAUAAAUAGAGAGAGGGAAAGAGGGUGACAUGAACGAGGUGGAAUUUUACUGAUUUAGCCCUCCACCAACUCCCUUGUACCGGUACACGGAUUGCUGUACCGGUACAAGGCCAAACCCGAGAGCAUCUGAGUUCUGUCGCACGCUCUGUACCGGUACAAAUGGACCCUUGUACCGGUACAGCAAGCGUCUUUCCAUGAUGGUUGUACCGGUACAGCACAACCUUGUACCGGUACAACAGAGUAAAAAUCCUGCAAUUUCGCAGAUUUUCACACAGAAUGCUGCCCUCGCGUCAAACGGAGUCCGUUUCGCGUCUAUUUGACGCCAACGCAACUCGAGCUUGUCUCGACACUCUCCAGAGCUGUCGACAAGUCCCCACUGACAGAAACUGGGUCUCACAUAUAAUGUAAUGGAGGGGGGGUUGAAGGGCUCCAUUGAUUAUGCCCAUGGCAUUAGGAGAGGAAACGGUAGACGUUUUAGACUUCGAAAAAAAAGAAGGUAAAUUGGAAGGAUCCCUGUUGAAAAGUAUGUCAUUCUCAUUUUCUCCACAAUUACUCUAUUAAAUGAAAAAUGUGAAGAGAUUAUUCUAUUAAAUAGAAAGUUAAAUGCUAUUAUUCCAUUAAAUGGAAAGGUUAGGAGAUUAUUUGAUUAAAUAGAAAGGUAAAUAGAAGAUGAAAGGAUUAGUCUAUUAAAUAAGAAGGUAAAUGGGAAGGUGAAGAAACGACACUGUGAGAUAAAUCGGAUACAUGAGAGGAAGUAUCUGGUAGAGGUGGGCCUAAUAUUCAACCCAAAGGAUGAAGGAGGUGAUAAUAACACUGGUAGCUAGAUAGGCCCAAGUUCAACAGAAUUAAUCUUUCACGUCGGAUAAAAGUUAUAGGAAUUAAUAGUUUUACUAGUGUAGAUACCCGCAGGAUGCAGCAGGUAGAUAAUUGAAACAAAAUUUUAAAAUUUUAAUAAAAUUUAUAUUUACAAUUUAUUGAUGUAUAGGAAGCUAUACCAGGUUAAGCACAGCCAAUUUGCAUUACUAAAUUCAAUUGUUAAAAAAAUAAAAUUAUAGCUAGAAGCUUAUAUAAUUUUUUAAAAAUUAUCGAAAUAUAGUAAGAGAUAUACAAUUUUAUCAUAUUAUGUGCCUUUUGAACAUUCCAUUGUAAAAGAUAAAAAAGAGCCAGCUCUAGUUGAAUCAAGCACCUCUGUUUAAGUAUCAAAACAGAUUGAGAAUAUGAAACACUUAAAUAAUAAGUUAAUGUAUCUGGCUUAAGAAAAUUUUGGGUGAGAUCUCAGGCUCCAAUCUCUACAUCAUAUUUUUUAGUUUAUGAAAAGAACUUGACCUACAAUAGUGCCUACUCAAAAAGAUGGUCAUGGGAUGAAAAUAAAACAAAACAUAAAUUAAAAAAAAACUAAUAAUUUUUUGGAGCACUUUUUCAUCCACGCGAGCUUACUCAUCCAAAUCUCAUACAUCUUCUUAAUUUUCAACUGGUAGUUGCUCCCCGCGCUAAGUUGCUUUUGGAUUUCCAUUGCCACCUAUGAACAAACACCUCAUCUGCAUCACCAAACUGUGACAUCUAAACCAACAUAGCCUUGCUAUCACAUCAACCAGAAACUCUAAUUCCCAAACAAUUUGGAUUUAUCAAGAAAUUCCUACAAUUCUCGAGAAGCGAGCUCCCGCACAGCGUCCCCUUGAAGAGGAGGCUUAGGACGCCGCUCGCCUCGGCCCAGUUGUGGGCGCACGCGAGCCGCACGAGGAGGCAGCCGAGGCGGCGGCUGUUCACGGCUAGUAGGGACCCCAACGCUGAUGGCCUAGUGGACACUUAUAUAGGCCCCGGCUCGACUUCGUAGGACGAUGCUUCUUGAAGGAGGGAACAUUCUUUGCAUACUUUUCUUCUUCUUCUUAUGUUUUUUCUUCUUCAUUGUCCUCAUUAUUUUCAUUAAUACAAUGAGAGAGAGAAAUAUGAGCAUGGUGGUGGGAGAUUAGAUGAUAAUGUUGCAUGGAAAAUAACAGGCCAUGCAAAAGAGAGAGGGCGGGGAGAUUAAUGGAGGAGGGGAAUGAAUUGGAGUUAUAAAACCCACUCAUUAGUGGGGGACAGGAUUAAUGGAGAAGGGGAGUGGACUGGAGUUAUAAAGCCCACUUAUUAGUGAAAUAUAGUGUGGGCGUGUUUGGUUAGCUUCUUUUUUACCAUGAAAUUGGAAUCGGAAUCGGAAUGGGCGAAUUUGUUUGUAGGUGUUUGGUACAUAGGAGUUCCAUUCCGAUUCCAAUUCCUGAGUGGAAUGGGAAUCCCCCAAUCACCCCUUUUCCAAUCCGGCCUAGGAGGCCGGAUGGGAAGUUGGAUCCAUACGGAAUAGACAUUUAUUAGGAUUAAAUUUAUUUUUUCAACUUUUUUAAUUAAAAUAUGAGUUUAAAUUUAGAAAUCAAAUAUAUAAUUUUAAAUUUUAAUUUGAAUUUGAAUUAAAAAUUAAAAUUUCAUCAAGUAUUUCGAAUCUAACUUAUGAAUUUGAAUUUAAAUUAAAUUUUAAUUUAUAUAAAGUUUUAUUCAAUUUUAUUUAAACUUAAAUUAAAUUUAUGGACUCAAAUUAAAAUUUAAAUUAUAAUUUUAAGUUUGAAUUUGAAUAAAUCAAAAUUUAGUUUCAUAUUUUGAAUUAUCCACUCAACUUCAAAGUUUAUUUUUUUUAAAAAAAAAAUAGAUUUAAAAUUUUGACAUUAUUUCAAAAUUUUGAUGUAAAUUUUUAAUAUUUAAUUUUCAAUUUGAAUUUAAAUUAAUAUAUUAUAAAGAUAAAGUUAGUAUAUUAAUUUGAUUACGUUUUUUAUAUCUACCUGAAUUAACCAAAUACCGAUAAUAGGAAUGAUUUAUUUCGAUUUCGAUUUAGGUGAUGAACCAAACAGAAUUAGGUAAUGAGUCAUUCCGAUUUCGAUUCCAUCUUAUUUCGAUUCCGAUUCUGAUUCCGAUUCCGAUUUUGAACCAAACACGCCCUGUAUGUAAUUAAAUAUUACACCAUGAAUUGAUUAAUUUAAUCUCGAGGUGAGUGCUAGGAAAAUCACCAUUGAAAGAGAAAGAGCCAAGAAAGAGCCAAUGAAGGGAGGAAUUCUACACUGUCACACUUGCAGCACGUUAUCAAUAACAAGCCAAUCACAUUCCUUCUUUUCAAAUAAAAGUACAAUAAAAAUACUUUUUUAUAAUCAUGAUGGGACAUAUAUUCUUAAAAGGAUUAAUUUGAUUGGUUUGUUACGCCACGUCACUAAUAUACCCGUUGUAUUCUAGAAUUUUUCCAAUGAAGGAGGUAGCGCCACGUUGGAUAAGCAAUCGAGGUUUAAUAGAGGGUUAGAGAAGAUAUAGAUUAGGUUGUAAAUAUGCACUCAGCAACGUCUCCUUCUCGCUCAUCUGUCCGUCGCCUUCGCUGCUACUGUACUAUGUUUACAUUGCAUUUAUGCCACAACUUAGUCUACACCAGAUAAUUAAUAACCAGAGAAUAAACAUCAUUCUAUAUAUAAUAUACCCACGGAUUCAUACCUGUUUUAUUGGUGAACUUUAUUGGACAUGUCAUAUUAAUGGAAUAUCAGAACUCGAUCUCUCAACUUGCCAUGUACCACAGCCAUUGACAAUGUAGGCAUUAAGUCAAAGAUCGGUGACCUUUCAUUGUACAAAAAAAAUAAUAAUAAUAAUAAAAAAAUAAAAAUAGAAAAAAGAGGCUUCUAGAGCUUUUAAUAAUACAUAAUUUAUUUUUAGGUAAACUUCAAAUACCACACAUAUGGUUUCAUACUUUUUCACUUUAGUACCGUAUGAUUCAAAAUGUAUCAAUAUAGUACCUUAUGAUUUCAUUUUUUUUUUCUCGUCAGCUCCUUCGUUAACAUUUUGUUCAAUUAUAUACAAAAAAUUUUAGAUGCCCCAUCUAGGUUAAUCGAAUACUCACUUUAGCACAUUUUAGUAUUAACUUUGCCAUUGAUUUAAUGAAAAAAAUUAGUGGAGAGAAUAAUAAAAAGAGAAAAAUAAAACUACGGAGUACUAAAUUAAUACACUUUAAGACAUAGGGUACUAAAAUAAAAAAGUGCGAACUACAGGAGUGGCAUUUGAAGUUUUUUUUUUAUUUUUAUAAUUCAUAAAGAUGUACUGGGUUUUUCUAAAAGAAUUUUAGAACCAAGCAAUUAACCCUAAUUUUGAGCCUCUAUAAUUAUUAUAGUUGAUUCCUUUUUGUUACUAUCAAUUGAUUACACGAGAGUGUCACCACAUGUCUAUUAAAAUCCAUCCAAUAAUUAUUGUGACUAUCCGAACCGUUGGCUAAUUUUCAUUAAACAAAAAGAGAACUCUUUAAUCGAUUUUCUUCUUCAAUUCCUUCUCUAGUAUAAUCAUAUAUCUUCUCAGAACUUUCUUUUUUUUAAUAUCUGUUAAUUUUUUUGAAUCUCCUUCCAUUUCCUUUAAAACUCUUAUUGAUUUGUAAAAUUGUUUCUUCUGAUGAUCGAAAUUAAGAAUUAUUCUUUGUGUUUAGACUAGAGUUGGAUAUUUUUAGAGAUUUGAUGCUAGAUCUGAGUUCUGAAUACUCUUUAUUUCUAUAUUUUUAUUUAUUUGGGCUUAAUGUUGGAGUUUGAAUUUUUUUUUCCUUCUGCGGAUUGAGAACUAGCAUCCAAAUAUUUUCUUUUUUCUUUUCCUUUUUUUUUUUCUAUCUUCGUCUUGAAUGGGGAUCGACAAUAGAUCGAUUCCUAUUAUUUUACUCUGAUUAGUAUGGAAUCCAACAUAUAAAUUUUUUUUUUGAUUAUUUUAUUUUGAUUUGGUUAGAAAUGGUCAUCAAUAUCUCAUCCUUUUAAAAGUACCUGUGAACAUGUUGUCGGAUGAUGGAAAGCCGCCCAACCAGGAAUGCCAAAAAUCCGAAUCCUAAUUUGACUAUCAAAUUCGAAAUUCGAAAUUCAAAUAUGAUUCUAAAUUUGACAAAUUUUAAAAAUUUAUAUUCAAAUCCAGACCCAACUAAAAAUUCAAACUCGAACCCUAACUUGAAUCCAAACCUGAAAACUCGAACCGUAACAAUUAUUUCUCUUUAUAAUAUUUCAAAAUACAUUAUAUUAAAUCUAAAUUUUAAAAUACAAAUUUAAAUAUAAUAUCAAAAAUUUAUAUAUAAUAUUUCAAAAUAUAUUAUAUUAAAUCUAAAUUUUAAAAUAUAAAUUUAAAUAUAAUAUCAAAUAUUUAUAUAUAAAUUUUGUCUGUACUUGGGAUCAAGCCAAGUACAGACAAAAUUCAUGCCCAAAUCUAAAUCUAUUGGAUUUUCAUUCUUUACAUCCGUACCUGAAACUAUAUCCCUUUAAAAUUGACAAAAUCCGCUCCGUUAACAUAUUCGUGUUCGGAUAAAAUUAUGGGGAUCAAUAUCUAUUGACAUUCCUGAGCCCAACCGCAGAAGCAGCUCUAAUUGAGCUCUUUCUCAUAUUUUUUAUUUUUUUUCCCAACCUAUUUUUUAGAGGUUACACUUUUUUCGUUUAGAAUUCAAAAAUUUAAUUUUAAUUUAUGUUUAUAUUUUAUAUUUAAAUUAUAUUUCGAAUUAAAUUUUGAGAUUCAUCAUAAGAAUUUUUAAAAUUUCAAUUUUAAUUUUAAAUUUUGAUCUUGGGUUCGAAUUUCAAACCUAAAUUGUAAUUCUAAAAUAGAACAUUAAAUUUUUUAUUUUAGAUUUACAUUUGAAAUUUAACUUAUUUUGGUUUAGAAUUUUUAAUUCAAACUCAAGCUUAAUUUCAAAUUCAAAUUCAAAUUUCUUCUCAAAUUUAAAUUUAAAUUUACAUUUUAAACUUAUAUUUUAAAUUCAAUUUCAAACUUUAAUUUUGAAUUCCAAAUUCAAAGCUUGAAUUUUGAAUUCAAAUUUUAAACCCAAAUUUAGAUUUUAAAUUUGAAUUCAACCUAAACUAAAUUUUAAUUUGAUUUAUUUUUUUUUUUAUAUUUUUUAAUUUGUUUGUAGACUGUAGUAACUUAACAAAGUUUUUACUUGUAGUGUCCCUGGUGUCUAGCGGUCGGUGUGAUUUCAGCAUCUGAGACUUGUUGAUAUGCCUGGAGAGUGUCGGGACGAAUCAGAGUCGUUUUGAUGCGAAAUGGACGCAAAACGAAUGCAGAGCGACGCGAGAGUAGAGUUCUGACACUGAAAUCUGCAAAGUACAGAAUUUUAGUGUUGAGUAUUGGUACAUGAGGAGGAGUAGCGGUACCCCCAUGUAAUGACAGAACUGGAUUGCUCUUGGGUUUGUGUAUAUCUGAUGCUGAGUACAGGUACAUGUUGUCGAGUACCGAUAUUGAGCUCGGGUACCGGUACUGCAUCGGGCUGGUAUCGGUACCCAGUGUGCGAGAUCGCAGUUUGAGGGGCCGAGUACCAGUAUUCAAGCUAAGUACCGGUACUCCAGCUGGAAAAGUGAGUUGGUAAGGGGUAGUUUGGUCUUUUCAAAUGUCGUUCAUUCUAACAUUUGCCCAGCCUAUAUAUAUACACGGUAGGGUGUUUAGAGAGGGGAUGCUGCUUCUUUUCCUCUCUUUCUCUAGCUGGUGGUUGCCGUGCGUCGGAAAGGUCGAGGCUUGAGCUCGUUCGGAUUUGACGAUUCUCGGAGGACCUUUCGUGCGUGUGGGUGUCGUGGUUGAGUCGUUAGAGAUCAGGCGAACGAGUGGGUUCCCUCCUAUCGACUUCUAGCCAACGUUGGACGAGCUUUUGGAGGUGGGUUGAAUGUUUACCGAAAUCAUCGAAUUUCCUCCUAAGUCUAGAGUUGACAGCAUGUAGUUAUUGUUUUGGUUAUCAUAUUAGUAGUUCAAAUUCAUCGAUUUGCAUAGUUUAUGGAAUCUGAAUUCCGGAGUCUUAUUUUUAGAAGCUUUUUAUAUGUUGAACUGGAAAUUGACUUAAGAGAAAACACGUUAAACCCUGCACUGUCAUUUUCUAAAAAGUUAUCAGAUUUAGCUGCAGGAGCCGUGGUUUUUUUCUAUCCCCGCUGUUAGUGCGAAUUGGAUACACAUAUUAGUGUAGAGUGAGUUUACGUUCGUGUUGGAAGGCCGAGUUCGUUUUACAGUUGUGUAUAGACUGUUUCGUACGGUAAAUUGCCGUCGUGGUUGGCGGUGGACUUAGAUUUGCAUCUGAUUGUGCCAAGGGCACGUGAAUUUUGAUUGUUAUGCCAGUUAGACUAUUUUGCAUUGACUAUAGCCUGUGAGAGCAUGAUUGAGCUCGGCAGAGACACUCUUGCAUACUCGGUUGGAUCGCACCCACGAGUGCCGAUCUGGAGUGAGACUUUUUACUUGCGUUGAUGUCGCAAUCGUCCUGUUUGGACCGUUUACUUGGACCAGCCAUCCCUGUGGGUGGUGUACGGUGUAGCUUGGUUACUGGCCGGAUGGGUCCGUUUGGGCAGCCCUAGUGAGAUUAGGUCAAUGUGAUAUAUCUACAGAUAGAUUGUGUUGGUUAGCGAUAGUAUAGUGGCAUGUAGUUGUAGAGUUCUUUCCAGCUUUCUUUACUAUCUUUUGCAUAUCUUUCUAUAGACUUAGUGGGUGAGUCGUUGAGGUCGGUGACGGUACCCACUGAGGAUUACUCUUUUUACAGUAGUUCUCACACCCAGUUGUUGACACCUUUUUGCAAAGACCUCGUCUGCGGUUACUGUUGUUGCUGAUUCGGACUGUAGGAAGGGAGUCGCGAGCUAGAUCCCUACCAGUCUGGUCGUCGUGUUAGAGGAGUACCAUAUAGAGAUAGUUUUGGGGUUGUCUGUCUACAUAUUGUUAUAUUGUCGUUGUACUCGUUGGAGCGAGAUGGGUCGUGGACUUUUGUAUGUAUAGGAACUCCCCUUUUGUUAUAUAUAUAUAUAUUUAUGUUUCAGUUUAGCAGCUCUAUACAUUUGGUUGUAGCAAUAACUUGCUUACAGGUACAGCUAUCGCUUUGUAUACACGAAAAUUUUCUAUGUCUACGGCGGGCAGGUCUGUUGGCGUGCCCGGAGAAACAUGGUAAUCCGAGGCGUGACAUUACCAAACAACUUUUCCCAACAAAAGUAGCCAAAUGUUUUACAGCUUUUUGUUUACAGCAAUACUAUUUUAUAAGGGUAAACUUCAAAUACCACUCCUGUGGUUUCGCACUUUCUCACUUUAGUGCCAUGUGGUUUAAAGUUUUUCAAGUUAGUGUCCUGUGAUUUUUUUUUUAAUCUUUUCGUCAGCUUUUUCGUUAAUAUUUCGUUAAAUUAUAUACAACAAAUUCAGAUACCACACUUAAGCUUUAUCGAAUAUUGACUUUAGGGCCCGUUUGGUUCGAGUUAUGUAAUAUUACAAAGUAUCUCGAUAUAUUCAGGUAUUUUAGAUUUCGGCGUGAGAUUACUACUAAUGCUGCAUUAGAGCGUUUGGUUUAAUACAGUAAUAUAAUACUAGAUUACAGUAUUUAUAGCAUUAAUAUGUUUGGUUCAGUUUAUAAAAUUUAGUAAUCCUGAUAUAAAAGUAUAGUUUUUUCCAAAAUUAUCCUUGUUGUGGUCAUUUGAAUAUUAUUUUUUACGGAAAUGAUGUAUGGAGGGAAGGAGAUCGUGAUGAUUAUUUGGGAGGAGACGCAAUAGAAGAUGAUAGGUGUGCGUGAGAGAGAGAGAGAGAGAGAGAGAGAGAGAGAGAGACGUCGAGAGAGAAAGCGAGAGAAAACGGCGUGCGAGAGAGAGGGCCAGGGGACGGCGAGAGAGAUGAAAAUAAUACUGUUAAUUAGAUUUUGGGUUGUUGGAGGGUAAAAUUGUCAUUUUACAUAAUAUGUAGUAUUAACGGGUUUCAGUAAUGCAAGAUACACGACCCCCCUCCCGUUAAUAUUUUCGAUGUAAUCCUACUCGAUUUGUAAUGUUACAUUAACGACUAGAUUACAUAGCGGAUUAACCAAACACAGUUAUCCUGACAGGAUUGCCUGCAAUCCUGCCAGGAUAACUCGAACCAAACGCACCCUUAGUAUUAUUUAGUUUAACUUUGUCACUGAUUUAAUGAAAAAAAAUUAGUAGAAUUGAUAAUAAAAAAUAAAAAUGAAACCAUACGGCAUAAAAUUGAUACACUUUAAACCACAGAGUACUAAACUGAAAAAGUGUGAAACCAUAGGGGUGGUAUUUGAAGCUUUCCCAUUUUAUAAAGUGCUUGUUCAACAGCACUAUUCCUCGAAGCUAAGCCAAACAGGGCCAAAGUCAACCCAAAAAAAGGCCAACCCACCC